UUGAGGGUUGUAUUUUUCUAACCAUGAUAAACCUAAAAUGAUUGGAUUAGAGGAAGAUUUAAUGAUAUUAAAUACUAUAAAACUAUUAUGACCAUUGAUUAUUACUUCUAUAGGAAGGAUUUCGUGAGUAAUAUCUCCAGAAGACAAUGGACGACCAUCUAUGACUUCUACAUGAACAAGUUUAGUUUUCUUUACUAAAGAUAUGCUGUCUUUUAGUAAAUUCUUCAUCUAAAAAACACGCUGAGGCUCUUGAAUCUAACAAGGCAGAGACUUUGUAAUAUUUAGGUCCUAAAAUAACAUUUAAUGUAAAACAAGGAGAGGGCUUUGAGGAGAGAAUAGGACCUUUACUAGAUGUUGUACAAGGUUCCAGCCGCACGAUCCCUAUUGUAGCUGGACAAACUCGUUUUCUGACAUAUUGUCUUCUUUCACAGCCAUACUCCUCAUUUUGUGAUUGCGUCGUUUCUUUGGACAAUGUUGAGCAGUGUGCUUUGGUUCUCCACAAUAUAAACAUAAUCCUUCUUGACGACGAUGAGUCUUUUCUUGCUCAGUAAGAGGUUUGAAAUGUACUGCAUCAAUUUGCAUAUCCUCUACUUCCGAAUGUAUGUGUUGAAGAGGUGUUGGUGUUGCCAUUGAAUUAUAGUAACGUUGAGGUCCACUUGUACGAUUCUCAGAUCGGAAUUCAAAAAGGCGAUUGUCGUACUUCACAGCAAAGUCAAUUGCUUGACUCAAUGUUUGAGGAUCAGGUAAGUUGAGCAUUAAUUUUUUUACCUCAUAUUGUAAUCCGUAGAGAAAUUGAUUAGUAAAUGCAGCAUCAUCCCACUUAAUAUCAGUUGCAAGUUGUCAAAAUUGUGAAGCGUAUAAUGUUACUGAUCGAUUGUCUUGUCAUAAAAUAUGAAUCUUAUUGGUUGAAAUACGAAUUACAUCAUGUUCUCCAUACAUGGAUCGAAACUCCACGAAAAAAGCCUGUAGAUUAUCCAAUAUUGGAUCUCGUCGUUCAAGAAAAGAUGAAAACCACGAUAGUGCUGAACUUGAAAGAAGCGUACUAAUGAAUCUAACUUGCGAUCCUGGAGUUGGAUAGCUUUGGGAUUGAAGUUCAAUCAUAAGUUGUACUUGAUUGAUAAAUCCUCGAAACUUAGAUCUGGUGCCAUCAAACUUCUUGGGUAGUGUAAUUCUUAGUUCUCUAACAUUUGAAGGACAUUCCACCAUAGGAGAAAGGACAUGGUUUGGUGCAGAUGUUGAAGCAGCUCCAACCAUUUCUAUAUCUUCACUUCCUGCCAAUCUUAUUGCUCCUUGUAGUAGUAAAUUGAGUUGAUGCAUCGCAAGCAUUAACUCCUUCAAUUGCUCUUGCAUUUGUGCCAUUGCACUCUUCAUUUCAACAAGUUCUGCCAUGAUAAUACUUAGAAGAGAAAAGAUGUCUAAUAUUGCUCAAGACAAAUAGAAGAGAGGACUUGAGAACAAAGAAAAUACUAAAGAUAAUAUCAGUUUAGAAGAGGGUAAUCCGCAACUUCUAAUAUGCUUAUAUCUUAUCAAGAAAAAGGGGUAAUCCACUCUUCAUCAAGAUUAGACAAAGCUAUGAUAUUGUAGAUAUACUCUUGUCAAUGUGUCAAGGACAAGAACUUGAUGAAAAAUAAUUCAGACAAGUGAGCCUUCACUCAAAUAAAGAUAACAAAAUAUAAAUAAACAAGUAUGUAUAUUGAAAGAAAAAUUGGAAUGGCUAUUGCCAAAAGACAAGAAAACUAGAGACCCUUGAAACUAGACUGGAAGCAAGAAAAGAGUUGACAAGAGUGAAGAAGCCUUCACUCUUGUCUCUAUAUAUACUAUCUAACUAGGGGCUACAUGGCAACAUUCUAUAAGACCUCCAAUAUGUGUUGACUUUGUAGAACACAUGCCUUGACUUACAAGGCAAGUUUUUCUACGUGUGGGCCACAUAGUUAGCUUGAUCUUCAAGCUAACAACAUGUGUGGCACAUGGCCAACUUGUUGACCACGUUUCUAAUCCAAAAAGUCAAUUAAAGACACCUAUGAAGUCAAAGCAGUGUCUAUGAAGCUUCUAGGAAGCUUUUAUAUUAAAUACUAUAGAAUUAACUUACUUUUACCUACUUUUACUUACUUCUACCUAUUUGUAUAUGUAAUUACUAGCUUACAUGAUUAUGUCCAUGACAUUGAAUAAUUUUUUUCAAUUGUAGAAUUUUUUUAUAAUAAUUUCUUAUAUUUUUCUACUCAAUAAUUAUUUUUUUAUUUUAAUUAUGAUUAUCAUUCAUAAUUUAAUACUUUUAUUUUUUAAAAUUAAAUAAUCUUAAGAUAAAAGAUUUGAUAAAUUAUUUAUCACGGCUACAUAUAACAAUAAAGGCACUAUUUAAAAAAAACUCAAGAACAACAAAAGAUCAAUGAAAAUGCCUAUUGCAAAAAAUAAUUUUGAUUACAUGUGGGCAACAAAGUAUGAUUACUUUGUUGCAAUAUCAAGGCUAUUUGUUCCUGUAACGAGUUGGAUUAUUGUAGACUUUAGCCAUUUCCUAUUAAAAAACAAAUCAAACCAAUUAUAAAUUGAUUAUACCUAUGAAGAUCCAUCUUGUAUUCUAUGUAUUUUUUUUGAAUUACACAAGGUAAUGAAUAUAUUGGGAAGGAAAAAAAUGCCACCUCUUCUUAUAAAAGUGGACUACAAUAAUGAAUUUGAUGUGGAAGAAGUCUUAAAUUUGAAUUAGUACCAAAAUUGGUUGAAAUAUCUCAUAUAUUAGUAUAAAUAUGAUAUUAAAAAAUAUAAAUGGAAGUCAUGAAAAAAUCUUGAAAAAUACAAUAAAAAAUAUUAAUAUUUUUUAUUGACAACAUUCAUCAAAAUUUAGACAAAGAAUAAAAAAAAAUUGUUAUAAAAUAAAGUAAGUUUAAUAAAGAUUACAUCUUAUGUCUUUACUUGUGGCUCCUUUAUAUUUGACAUAAUUAUAAGCUAAAAAAUUAAUUAUUAAUAAAUUUAACUCAAGAGCUAUUAUUUGUUGAAUUAUUGAACAAGAUAUUGAGAUUUUUAUAGUCUUCAAGACAACAUAACCAUUUUAUUGACUUAAAGACCUACAUAAAGAACAUAUUUUUUACUAAAUAGAUGGCAAAAUAUAAUGCAUUUGAUAUUACAAUCUUAUAAGAGACUUUCAAUAUUUGGUGAUAUUUUUAAAAAUAAAAAUAAUUAUUUAUGGUAUUCAAAUAGUUUUAAUUAAAAAAAAUUAUGAAGGCCACUACAAUGUUUAAAUAACAAAGUGAUCUUCAUGCCUUGGUAUAAAAUAAUAUUAAUGGCUAUGAAGUCCUAUCAAUUAGCUUUAAUGGGAAUAAAGAUCAAAAUAUGUAGUUAAUAUAAUUUUUUGUAUCUUAGACCUUUUCAACAUGUAAUUACUAUUUGUCAUGGAACUUGUUUCUAAAACAUUUAUUAUAAUAUCACAAACAUAAGCAAUACUAAUAAUUACUUAAAUAAGAUGAAUUAAAUAGAAGUAAAUGAAAAUAGAUUAUUAUUAUUUUUUUUUUCAUGAAUCAUUUCAAAGUGCAACAAUCCUUAAGAGCAUUUGCAACUUCGCGUUCUAGUGGCUAAUCAUGGCAUGACAUAGAAACAAUUGCAAGAGUUGGCAAUAAAAUUGUCUACAACUUCACUUUAAAACAUCAUAGGAAAUGCAACACUUCUAGCUUAAGAUCACUUUUCUUUGACAACAUGCUAGCCUAUAGUAUAUUUGAAGUUUAAAAUGAGAAUUAAAUUAUUAAGACAAGUCCUUUAAUUGAAAGAAUUUAUGAGAUAAUAUUUUAUUAACUUAUUUUUAUUUAUUUUUUAUUUUUAAAAAAUAUAUCUCAAUUUUUAAUUUAAAGAGAUCUAUAUUUGAAUUAAGAUAUAUUUAAAAACAAUUAUGAAGCAAAUCAACUAAAAUGUCAUUCCAUACAUCUAUGUGGCUAAUUACUUAAUGGAACAAGUUUUUAGAAGCUUUUUUUCUUUCUUUUAAUUUUUCUUUUAUUCAUAUUAAAGAGUCUUAGAUCAUGUUAAGUCUUAAGAGUUCUAAUCCAACUUGACAUUAAUUUCAACAAGAGCUAAGUUUUUAAUCUCUAUUCAAUUAUUUCUAUAAUAUUGAAUAUCCUAACUUAUAAUUUACAAGGUUUUAAUGAUCUUCCAAAAAUCUUUAAACUUCAAAGUUAUAUUCAAAGUUUAAUUCUAAGUAUGAUGUAUAUUUAUUCCAAGAGUAUAAGAGUAUUAGAUUUAGGAAAUAUUCAUUAGUCUAAUACAUGUUUUUAUAUUUUAGAAGCAACACUUGAAUAUAUUAAUAAUGUAAUUAAAGCAAAUGCUGAAGGAGUAUGUAUCUUCAUUGCCCUAAUUAUUAAACAUUAUAUUUCUAAUGUAUAUAUUUUUUUUAAAUAAUAGGAUUUUUUAAAUAAUCAUAAAAAAUAUUUUUUGAAAUUAUAUGGAAAUUCUUAAUAUAUAUGGAUCAAAUAAAAUUCAACAAAGAAGUCAAUUAUGGCUUGACCUUGAAAAUAAAACUCAAGACAUGAGUAAAUUAUGGCUUGACAUUACAAAAAUCUUACCAUUAAAGAUUUCAUUCAUAUAAAAAGAGGACUAAAAUAUAGAAGAGAACCUAGAGAUAAAAACUUAAUUUUGUAAAAAAUUAUUGUGUCAAAAUGAAAAAAAUUAUUUAAACUUUUUAAAAUCUUGACUUCUCUUAAUAGACUUAUUUAAAUAUAGGAAAAUUUUAAACUACUUUUAGGAUAGUAAAAGAGAUAAUAUUUGCAUUCUUAUAAGAUUGGAUAGAUUUUAUAUUAGCUCCACGUCUUUUUAAGAAAAUAAAAUAAAAGAGUAUAAGAUUAGAAGAGAUUGUAUCCUAUUAAAUCAUCAUAUAUUGAAUUCUCUUUUUGACUAUAAAAACUAAGUCAAAAGAAACAACAUAUAAGAUGAAGAUCUAUUUUUUUAAUGAUCUCAGAGUUCUUCAACAUGUCCAAGUAAUAUGAUUCAAACACCAAGAUCAAGCAUCUUUCAUUUCUAAAAUAAAAAAUUUGAUUUGAUUAUAAAAGUUUUUUUGCAAACAAUAAAUAAAUAAAUAAAUAUUAUUAAAAUGAAGAUGCACAAAACUUUUAGAGUUUUCUCAACAAGCGUAUAUUAACCUAUAAGCCAAUCUUUAGGAUAUAAAUUUAUAAGCAUAUAUUUAAAAGAUUUAAUACCUCUUAAAUCAAUAUGAAGAUCAAUAAUUAGAAGGACAAAAAAAUAAGUCAAGAAUGUUUUAGAAGAAGUUUGAUAAUAAUAACUAAAAAAUAUUUUUUAAUAAAAUAAAAAUAAGAUAUUCUAGACUAAUUAAUAUAAAGCUCACAAACUCUAAAGGUAUAAUUUAAAUAAAUUCUUAAGAAUUAGAAAAUAUUUGUUUUGAUUUCUAUUCUAACUUAUAUAAGAAAGAAACAAAAAUACCAAAAUUUAAAUAAGCUUCUUAAUUUUUAUUAGAUAUAUUAAUUUAUAAAUUCAAUAAUAUUAUAAAUAAAAAGUUCACUAUUUCUAUCACUUUAUAUGACUUAGAAGAUGCUAUAAAAGAGAUGGCUAAAAUAAAAAUUUCACUAUUUCUAUCACUUUAUAUGACUUAAAAGAUGCUAUAAAAGAGAUGGCUAAAAUAAAAAGUUCAUGGCUUUUAUAGAAGUACAAAUUAAUUUUUUUCUAAAUAUUUUAGCACAUUAUAAGAAAGUAUUUUGUAGCACUAAUUAAAUAAGUGCUUAGAUUGGUACACUCUUUCUAAUGUAUUGUCAAAUUUGUGAUUAUACUAGUCUACGAAGAUAAAAUAAAAAAAAAACAUAGACUUUAUAAAUGAUGGUAGAUUUCAUUGUUAAAUAAAAAUUUAAAAAUUUAAAAAUUUAAAAAUUUAAAAAUAUAAAAAUUUAAAAAUUUAAAAAUUUAAAAAUUAUAAAACUAUUUAAAAAUUCCUUCAAUUCAUGUUUAUGAAAAUUACAUAUUUAGGGCAAACAACUUUCUUUUCUAUAAGGUACAUUUUUAAUAAUUUUUUCAUCACUUAUGAGUCCUAUUAAUGGAUUUUAAUUGAUAGAAUUAUUAUAAAUAUACUUUCAUUUUAUUUAAAUAUAAAAUACUAAGAUUAAAAAGUCUUUUUUAUUAUUUAUAUAUAUAUUAGAAUUUAGAUAGGUUUAUAAAUUAAAAUAGUCUUAUUAGAAGAAAAAAAAUUUAUAGAAAUAGAGUCUUGGUAAGUCUUAAAGGCAAUUAUCUUAAUUAGUUUAGUAUUUUUGCUUAUUAUUAAGUAUCAAUGUUUAGUUAUUGAGACCGAUUUCUACAUUGGUCUUCUAUCUAUAUUUAUUGUUUAUAAAAAUCUAUAAAUAUUAGUUAAAAAUUAAAAGAUGUGUAAAAAACUUCAUAGCUUUUUUAGUUAUUUAUAGAAUAAAUAUUAUUUUAAUUGAUUUAAAUUUACUUUAUUACUAUUAAAAAUAUCAAGGUAAAAAAUAUAGUUUUAUUUUAAUAUUUUCAUUAAAAUAUAAAUUAUAAGAAUUGAAAAUUUUUAUUUAAAAUUUUUAGAAUUUUUUAGAGUAAUUUUCAAGACUUGGGUAAAAAUGAGUCUUAUCACUUUUGGAGAUUAUUAUGAAGAAAUGGAGUAAAAUUUGAAGGCCUAAGAAAAUUAAAAUAUUAAGUGGAUGUUUUCAAAUACUAUAGUUAAGUCAAAAUAAAAAAUAUUAAUUCUACUAAUAAAAAAUAGGAGAAUCAAUAACUAGUAUAAGAAGAAAAAUAUACAAGUGUCAUGUAAGUUAUAGCAUCUAGAAUGUAGUUAGGAUGAUAAGACUAAGGCCUUAUGGCUUCUCUAGAACACUCAUAUAUACUACUUGAGAGCCUUAUUGAGGCUUAAAUUCUUGAUCUCUUAAGCAAGUUAUCCUUAAAAUAAAAAUUAUUUAUUUAAUUUUUUAUUAUUUAUAUUUUAUUUUAAAAUCAUUAUAAUUUAUUUUUAGUAACUUAAAUUUUUAUGUUUUUAUAUUAUUAAAAAAAAUUAUCUAUCUAAAAGUAUGUUAUUUUAUUUUUAUUUUUUACUAGGUAAAAAUUCAAUGACUAGAUUAUAAUUAGUUUUGUGAUGUGUAAUUUUUUUAUUGUACUUCUAUCACUUUUUUGUUGUUGUUAUUAUUGUUCUUUUUAUUUUUCUUCUUUUGUUUCUUCUUGUUCAUACUAUCAAUUAAAUUUUUAAAAAAAUAAAAACUCUUAAUUGAGGCCAUCUUAUAAUUUGAGGUAAAGGAUGAUUUUAUCCUCACAUCACUCUAAAAAACAAUCAAUUGCAUCAAAAAGUUCAAUUAAUCUUUCUUCUCGUUGAAAACUAAUUUUUCUAAAGUCUAUGAUAAAAUCUCAUAGACAUCUUUGAUUCAAUCAAUAAGACGUUUGAGAUUCAAUGAUCAAUUUUGUCAUAUGCUAAUAAUUCUAUUCUUUGGAAUAAGUAACUCAGUAAAAAUCAAUAGAUCUUUAUAAAAUAAUUUCUUAUUGACAAGAUGAUAAGACAAGGGCGCUCUUUAAUUCUAUACAUUUUUAUCAUUAUAGGAGAAAUAUUAAUUUAAUUUAAAAGAAUCCCAACAUCAUUGAUCUUUUUUGUAAUCCAUUUAAUAAAUUAAGUUUUGACUUAUAUUCAUAUUUUUGGAUCACAUGAGAGGAACAUAUGACUUACUUUAUAAAAUUUAGAAGGAACUUUUUACAAAAAAUAUUCCAUUCAAUCAAUUAGGUUGAUAAUAUAUAUAUAUAUAUAUAUAUAUAUAUAUAUAUAUAUAUAUAUAUAUAUUCAUUUAAAUGGCAUAAUAUUUGAUUUUAAAAAGAAAUUAUAUUAAUUUGGCUCAUAUGGCACAAAAGUAUGGUAGUUAAUACAUAAAAAUAAAAAAUCAAUCCAAAUAUUGAUAUUAAUUGUAUCUUAUGUUCUUUCUUAAAAUUUAAAAUAAUCUUAUAUAGAUUUUGGAAGUAGCAACAAGCAUGUAAAAUAUUGAACUAGACAAUAUUCUUCUUUGACAAACUUAUUACAAACCUUUGGUGGUGGAGGCCUUUUGUUAUGUACUAUGAGAUUUAAUUAACUUCAUAUAUUUAUUUAAAAGUAUAAAUAGUAUGAUGGAAAAAUAAAUAGAUGCAUAGAUUGAUUAAUAGAUAAAUAAAUUAUUUAUAUGUCUAUACAUUUGUAAAUCCAUAUAUAUUUAUAUGUCUAUACAUUUAUAAAUAUUUAAAAUAAGAAAAAUAUCAUAUAUAUCCUUCAAAAAUACUUAAAUUUUAAGAAUAUCCUUGUAUUUUUGAUAGUAGAAAAUAUAUCCUUUAAAUUCAUUGACCUAACAUUCUUAUAAUUUGUAGUUGAAAUUUGUGAACCAUGAUAUUACAAACUACAAUUUUUUCUUCACAUGUGUAUUUUAUAGGGGAUGAUUGCCCAAGUUGAUAUUUUGUAACUCUUGUACUAAACUUCAAUAUGGUCUUUUGGAGCAUUAGAGUGUUUGUAAAUCAAUUUAGAAGAGCACUUUAACAAAGUCUUUUUUUUCCCGCAGAUCUUGCUUCUUUCGUUUGUAUAUCAUGGGCACAUGAAUUGCAUGCUUUUGUUAAAUGCUUGACAUGAGAUCUGUGGGGGACUAUGCAAGUAAGGAGCCUUAAUUAGCAUAUAAGGUGGCUUUGAUCUCCUAAUCAUUUUUAAUUAUGGUGUAUGGAUGAGCUUGAUAUCAUUCUACAUCCUAAAAUAUUUUAAAUAAAAACCAUGUCAGAGUUAAAAAAGAGGCACAACAAAAGCUGUGAAGCCCUUGAUUUGGAUCCCAUUUGCUAUUAUCACAAAUCUGAGGGAUAUAUUAACUAUAAUCAAGAAUACAAGGGUAUUCUUGAUAUUUCAACAUAUUUGAAGGGUAUAUAUGGUAUUUUUCCUAUACAAAUGUCAAUACAGAAAUCAUCCAUCCAAGGAGCCGCAAACGUGACGGCGUCUAGCGGCGACGGUGACGACUUGAAGCGAGUCCGUCAUGACGUCUCACGAGAAUUAAGAUCGCGAUUAGCGACGAUCAAUUAUUCGUCUCCACCGUUGCUCCGCGACGGAUUGCAAGGAUUUCAAAGACGAUGAGGAAUGUUGUGGUAUAAUGACCACUUCGGUCACGAAUUCCACAAGCACCGGCACACUGAACCGUGCGGUGCUGCUCGAUUUGAAGACAAUGCUGGGCAUCCCGCUUGACAAGGCCGCAAGGAUAUGAAAUCCCGUCUUGCCGAACUGAACCAUAGACGGCAAUGAUCAGUUGCAUGUCCACCGUCUUCGGAAGGACGCUCGUGUUGCUGCGCUAGAAAUUCGGACUCUAGGGGCAUCUGUUAUCCCAUGAUGCCGUCUGAACAUGUACGUCUUUCACCACUAGCAUGAGCUGUCAUGACUAUCCUGCUGCCCCGGAGUUGCGAGGCAUGCCUUUAAAUGGGCUCCGUUGCAAUUACGAGCUCCUUGACUUCGGUCUCUCUCACUGCCGACCAUGAAAUCUUGGCACAGGUUAGGGUGUGGUGUGGGGGCUUCGGUGUUUUAAUGGGCAUUCGACAAACAUCCUAUUCGUAUUGAGCGUGAACAGUGGUUUUGGCUAUUUAACGCGUGGCUUGGCAACCAGUCUGCCUUUUUGAGCUCAGUUUUGGUAAAGCAACUAUUCUUCAUAUUCGACUGUAGGAGUGUUUGGUCGGAGUAUUUGGAAAACGCACGGUACCUGGUCGAAGGUGAAUUGACCAGAGUUUGAAGGUUAGCCUCUGGCAUCGCAGUGUUGUCAUGACACAAAGUUACAUGAUGAUGAUGAUGAUGAUAUGUAUACAAAUAAAUUUGUAUCCCUCGGGACAAGUGAUGCGACACUGGUGGACAACUUAUGUUCACGGCCUGGAGACGAGCUGAAUAUUUGUUCAAUUAGAAACCUAAAUGUACCAAUAAGAACGCAAUUUCAGCGUCCAGUUCUCGUCAAGUGGAGAUUGGGGGCGAGCUUGAUGAUAGCAGUCAAGCGUAACACAGAGCAAUAUUCACGUGAGUCCGACAGGCUGCCAGCCGUGGAUUUGGUUUUCCGUCUGACAGGUGGUCAAUCAAAUGUUUAUUUCAAAGCAACAUAGCAUAAAUCCUCACAAACCUGUUUGUGAAGGAUUGGAAUUCACGUGUAAUUGCUUCACAAGGAUCAAACGGGAGGAUAGAGCUUACACCUCUGCACUGUUGUACGUUGCUGGUAGCCAUGUUGGCCCUCAUGAUAGCCCCUAUACAAGGCGAGAGCUCGGAUUUGACAAAGUUUUUGGAUCUGUAGACGUCACUCUUGGAGGCGAUUGUGAUUGAGCCGUAGAAAAUGAGGCCAAAAAUACAUGGCUCACUUGGAUUAAAGGCAAUAUUAUCCCAUGUAGUUAUUUGUCAAAUUGCCAACACACAGACUAAAGUUCAGGAUUUGCGAAUCAUUGCCACGUAUGCUGCGAUCACGUGCCGGCUGGGCUGGACAACGAAUGCAGCCAUAUUAGCUACUUGCCCUUAUAUUGAUCCUAGAUGUUCCAGGGAAUCCUGUAGAUCCAUUCUGCAGGAGGACCAUAACUAGACGCAUAUUCCGUCGUUGUAUGUAAUCAACACAAGGCUUGCUCUGGACCAGGAGAUGAGAAUACCUGCCAUUGCAUUCCAUUUAACCUCUUUCAAAAUCUGGUGAAGUUUAGAUGCGAUCAACUGUAUCCGCAUUUAUUAAUCUCUUUGUAACUCAGUAUGACUCUCACAUACAACUUUGCACCAAGCCUGGGAUUGCAAUCUUUUUCUAUAUCGUUUAUGUUACCACGUCAUGUGCCAACAGUGCAGAUCAUUUUCUGGGCCUACACUUCAAGUUUGUGUCCACUCCUGUGAACCCCGCAGGAGUAUAUUUCGGUUCAGUGCAAGGAAUUUAUAGGGUGUACCCUGGUCCAGUGAGUGAGUCAUAGAAUGAGUCAUCUGAAUUCCAAGUUACCUUGACAAAAGUUUAUCACAUCUACUAGUAUGAACCAUCUCGCUUCACGAUGCUGAGGCCUCAAAACUUUGCAGAAGAAACUUGCAGAGCUUUAAGCCGACUGGGCCCUUUUUCACACCUUGAACAUCACAAGUGUAAUGGUGGCAGCCUAUCUGGGCUUCUACUACAUCAAUCAUUUUCAUGUUCUACAGGUUACACGCAAGUAGUAAGACUGCCUUUCCAUGCACUAUUAUUGUUUUUAAUCUUUUUGCACAUUCACUCCCGCGAUGCCAAUCGAAACUGCCCGCAUCAACGUAAUACUUUUCUUAAAUUCGCCUUGAAUGCCAGAUUGAAGCUAUAAUCAAAGUUGAACGAGAUCCAUACCCUUGCCAUCCAACAGCAGGCAGGCAGGAACUUUGAUUCACGGAUUUAUGUGGGUACUGAGUCCUGCCAACUUUACCGUGCAAGUAAUCGAUUCGAAAACACAUCAGAAAGCAUGACGAAUGCAUGUGCAUUGAGAAAUCAUCACAGAAGGAAAAUUGCGAGAAACAUGUACCUCCCUCCUCCUUGGUCUCAUUAUUGAUGUCGACUGGGGGUAACUGACAAAUGCGUAUGCUUUUCCAGCUCGGGUGGAAAUCCGCUCGGAGAAUCCGGACCCAACACCGCAACUCCCAGCGAACAGGGGGUUGUUCAAAGUACACGAACGGCUUUCAACGCCGACAUAACGGAGAGGGCUACAUGCACCCAACAUGCGAGCCAGCAUCCGAGCCCCCGGGACCAUGCCCCGAGACAAUUCGCAUCGCGGAAGAUGCAUCAGCUGAUCGUGCGGCAGGUUUUCGAUCAACAUGACGUGGAUCUGUCGUCCGGGUCGUGAUCCUCGUGAUCCCGCCAGUCGCAUGAGUACACCUCGGCCUGAAUCGUAGGAGUCCUUUCCGACCCUAUAGUAUUUUUUGUUUUUUUGUAUUUUGAUUUUCUAUAUUUUAUGCACAUAUUUUUCCCAUUCGCGCUGAUCAUGAAACGGCGAAGGUCCGAUGCUAGAACCCAUACACAUCAGAUCUGGGUCUCACGUCGUCUUGUGUUCGGGAGGUUGCCUUACGGAUCCACCAACCGCACCGUAUGACUUCGCAAAACAUGAUAAGCAUCUGUCUGAUAUAUCUUCAACGACAAACACUACCGACACAGGCUAGACGUCGAUCGUUGACAAAGCCCACCAAACUCAUGGCAUGCGUUGAAAAGAGGCGCUUGCCGCUUUUUGCUGCGAUGCAAUCAGUGGGGCUCUGAUUCCGAGCCCUUUUCUUCGAUGGCUUCCUUGCUUCGUUCGCUUGGACUAGUUGCCCUGCUGCUAGACCUGCAUCGAUCUUCGUCGCUUCAAAUCCAUAUCUUCAUCGCUCUCUUACAUUUUCUUCCGAUUCCAUCCCCACAGUUCUGGCCCCUUGACAUUCUGAUCCAUGCUGUAGCAUGCUGAUCGACUAAAACGACCUGCUCGACGACGCCAAAGCAUGGUUCGGGGAGUUUCUGUGCACAUGUUGCGCAGCGAUAAGCUUCUCAACAUGUGAUUUCAGCAAUUGUUGGCUUAUAAAGCCAGAUUAUAGUAAACAAAAUAGUAUAUUAACAAGUAUGAUGCUAACAUAUAGUAGCUCAGUUAGAUAAGUAUGAUGAUGUGGAGGAUGUUGGCGGCUUGAAAGUUUCUUUGGCCAAUAAUAUAUAUAUAUAUAUAUAUAUAUUUAUUUAUUUAUUUAUGUAGUGUGUUGAGGGUUUUGUUGACUGUUAUGAAUUUUGGAAUUGAAGUUGUUCCAAUUUUGAUAAAAUAAUAUUUGGUUUUGCUUGAGGAAGAUUGUGUUUAACGUCAUGGUUGUAGUUGUUUGAUAGUUUUAUUGGUCCAGGUUGAGUUCAAAUUUAUGUUAUUAUUUGUUUUGGGUAUUUGAGAUUUGUAAAAUAUCUUCGUGAAUAUGGAUUGUAUGAAGAAUACACUUAAAUAAAGUUCGUAUAAUAAGUAAAUAUAAAGAACAAAAGUUAGAUUUAACUUAUACACUAAUAAUUAAAUUACUAUUAUUAUUUAUAUGUUUCCUUGAAAAUUUAGGAAGUUGAACAUGUAUUUUUCUUUUUAUAAAUUUAACAUAGUUUGGUGAUUUAUUAUAUGGUGAAUAGGUAAUUUAUACAAUUAUAUAUGUAAGAAUAUAUCUUUUUGGCAGUAGAAAAAUUAUUAAUGAAUAUAAUGAUAAAAAAACAAAAGUUUGCAAAAUUAUCAUGAAUCAUGUAUUGAUAAAUAUAUUUAAUUUGGUAUAAUAGUAUGAAAAAAAAUUAAAAACCAAUGUAAAAGUAGUAAUAAAAAUUGGUAUAUAAACAUCAAAACCAUGUAAUAAUGAUUGUUAAAUAUCAUAAAAAUAACAAAAUAUUUAGAUUGAUUGUGAGAUCAUCUAUCUUUACAUCAAACCUUAAUUUUUUUAAUUUUUUAUUUAUUGCACAAAAAUUACAUAGUAAUUGAAAAAAAAAAAAAAAAAAAAAAAAUUAUCACAAUGAGUUAUCGAGUCACAAAUACGAACAGAUACUGACAAAGUAUUUCAGUACAACAAUCUAUAAAAAUUGAAGGUCAUUCUAGAAAAUAUAAAUAGAAUGAGAACAAACACAUUGUCUGAUAUUAAAAACUUAAUGGACAGUUGUUGUUCACGAAUGAAGGCACAAAUAUCAACAUGCAAUUAUAUAUAUAUAUAUAUAUAUAUAUAUAUAUAUAUAUAUGUGAGUAUGUGUGUAUAUAUACACAAUGAACACUCAUUGUACACCCUGUGAAUUACACGUCUUAUUUUCGAUGUUAUAAAUCCUGCAUAUUAAACCUACGGUGAUGUUACAAAAAUAAUCUGAAAAAGAAAGGAACAAAACAGAUACAUCACUUUUACUACGCUAUUAUUCUAAUGCGAAUUAGAAUCUUUUAAAAUUAGUUAAUUGACCAACAGAAUAAGAGUUUAAAAUGUGAAGAAUAUGACCUAUCAUGAUGUGUAAAUAGAAAGAUAGAUAGAUAGAACCGAAGAUCCAGAGUCCGGAGGCAGUAGACUGAAUUCGAAGCAAAAACGGCGCAUCCUCAAAAAUUCAGCGUCGGAAGAAAGCGAGCGUUAGAAUUCUGCAUCCUGCACAGAAUCCCACGGAGACCACAAUAAUCUCAUGCAACCAAAACCAAGCCCUGUUUACUGCAUUCUAAUCCAUGGCGACACUGGCACCAGAAACACCUAUCACACCGGAAACAUCAAGCUCUGAGACUGUGCAGCAACAGUAAAACGGAGCAAACGAAACGAUCAAUCAAUUAAUCAAUCAAUCAAACAAACAAACAAGGAAAGGAGACUCUGAUUGAUACACCAGAGGGAAACUACGCACCCGGGUGGCGAAAGAGAAUCAGUGCAGGAAGGAGACAACGAAGCCCAGAAGAGACCCUGCACAACUGCAUCGGCGCAGGAUCAUGCAGCAAAGGCAGGGAGAAGGAAGGCGGUUGCCGAUCACCGCUCGCUGUUGCUCGCCCCGACGGCCUCGACACGGUUCGGCGCAGUCGGGUUCAAAGAGGUGAAGCGCAAGCCACAGCCUGCACUACAAUCAUGAACCCGGGGGAUAUUCGAGCUCAUAUCAUCAAACGAGACAGAAUCCAAUUAGGAAGGUGCGCGCCUCAUGAAGUGGUCUCAACCACGACAAACUCACCCAACCUGUGAGGAAGCGAGGACGGCCGAAGGCGACGGUUGGAAGAGAGAGAACCCAACUGAUGACGCACGGCGAGCGGCAACAGCCACACGACAAAGGUGCACUACAGGUAGGCGACCCGCAAGCGACUCGGCGCAGGACAAAGCGGGAGGAGAGAGAGAGAGAGAGAGAGUGCGAGUUGGGCGGGUUGGCGUUGGUCGGGGGUAGUGGACAACAUCACACACUCACUCGCAUCUCUCUGCAUGGCCCCACUUCCCACCACCACCCACCACUUCCUCCAGCUCCUUCCCUAGACAAAGUACGUAGGGUGCGGAGGAGGUUUCGAUGGCUUUUUGUCUAGCACUCCCAGCAGUGAGCCUGAGUGCGAUAGCGAAGUGGCGCUCGGUGUAAACACAACGAUCUCGUUGACAUGAAAGCAUCAGAGCCCAAACCCUUCCUGCUUCCUCCUCUUCACAGCAUCAGCUCGAAGGGUGCAUGCAGUGCGAGGGGGACAGGAGGAGUAAAGUAGGUGAAUGAUGCCGAUGGCUUGAUUUGUCGGGGCGGUGCCAUUAUACAGCGCAAUCUCUAUCGUAAGCUAGCUGUAUGUCUCUCCCUUCUCUGUCACGCACUCGCGAUCUCUGUCCACACUUCCGCCUCCCCCCUCCAUCUCCUUCUUCCUCUCCGCACCUCGGCCGACCCCGAGAGAGCUCUCACUCUCUACCUCAGUAUACUCUGGGCCUGCCCGAUUUGGAUGAAUGCUUCCGUUCGUUUUUGGUGGAUGUUUCAGAUGCGCGGUGGAUGGCGGCGUGGUCAUCCCUCAUCUGUGGUUUCCGCAAUGGGACAAUUAUUGGUUUGUGUUCUUCUUUCUUCUGAAAAUUUCAUGUAGAAUUUUUAUGUGUUGCUUAUGUGAGUCUUGUUAAUUAAAACAAUGGUGUUUGUGUUUGUGCUUGUGUGUGUUAUUAAACACAGUUGUUGCAAAAGUAUUGACAUUCACCAUAUAUAACUAUAAAUUCUUUUAAAAUAAUUAAUGCUAAUGAUAAGAAAUAACUUUGUACUUUCUUAAAUUGUUGAGAUAUUUUUUGGAAAAUAAACAUUAUUAUGUGUACAUACAUACACUUGUGAAUUCUUUUUGUGUAACAGAAAAUAUGAAGGAAUAUUGACAAAGACCAAACAGAAACAUAAAAAUACAAACUAAGUUCAACUCACAUUUGAAUAUGCUAAAAUAACAUUAGAUACUGAAAGCUUGCAUCUAUAUAUAAGAAAAAAUCCAAUACUUUCAAACAAUAUAAAUAAUGAUAAUAUAAUCAAUGUGAGAUUUUAGAAACAUUACACAUGGUUUUGGAAGGAGCUACAACCCAACACAUUUAACAACACCGUGUCUUAUACCCAAAAAUUCUACGAGAAUUUUUGUUGGAAUCUACUGUACAAUCAAAACGAAUAAACGUUUGUAAGAUGUCAUGUCUUAAAUUAGGUCCAUUGUUAUAUGUGGAGUUUUUAUUUAUUUAUUGAUUUAUUUAUUUUCUAGGAUGGGUGUCUACCUACACCUCCAAAAAAUUACUCACCACCUUGAGAUCUAAUUUGUAUUGAUAAUAUCUAAACCCACGAUGCCAUCAAUUUUAAAAUGAAAUGACCAACUUCCAAGCAUUAAAUAACUUAUCUAGAAGCUUCACAAGUAAUAUUUCUGAACAUACCUUGACAUUGUUGGACUCAUUUGACAAUACAUUAUAGCUUUAAAUAUCAGAAAUUCGCCAAUAAAAACUUCUUCUUUUUUAUUAUCACAACCACCCAUUUAAUUAGUAUUUGAGUUUAGUACUAUUACUUAUGUUUACUCAUGCAUGAAGUGAAAAUUUUAAAUGAACCGAAAUAAUUUUAGAUGUUAUCAAGCAGAGAACAGGUCUUGAUUGUGCCUGAAUUCUUACUUGUAAGAUCAAAAUGCUUUGUUGCCAACUAUUUUAUUGUAUUAUCUUAUAGUUUUUAAACUUAAAAUAAAUUGAUUCAAUUAAAUAAAAAUUUUAUUUUUUCUUUUUUUUUCUUCAAAUAAUAUGUAUAUAUGUAUUAUACCCUGUAAUAAAUGAAAAAUUCUGAAUAAUAUGAUAAAAUUUGAAAUUCCAUUCAGAUUUGGUGUAGAUUCAUUGGAUCACCAUCAAAACUAGUAACAAUCUGCAAAACAAUUAUCAGGUAUCAAAAACCAUUUUCUCAUUUAUAAUAUCAAGCAUGCUUUGUACUAGCACUUGUUUUUAAAAACAUUUUUUUCACUUUUCCAUUUUUCCAGUGGAAGAAGUUUAUUGUAAAAUAUAUUAUGUACUCAAUUUACAUGCUAUUGGAAAAUUAUAGAAAAAACAUAACCAUAAACCUUUUUAUUUCUGAAAUAAAAAUCUAAAAAACCAAUUUUCUCCAGAUGUUUAUCCCCGAUUAAGUUGAGGUUUAAUUACAAAUAUUAUUACUAAACAUGUUAGUGUUAAAUUUACGUAUUCUUUCAGUUUUGCAAAAACUUUAAUGUUAAUCUGAAAAAUGUGCAAUUAUUGUAAAUUAAUGUAGUUAUCUAGUCUUUGCAAGCACCGGAAUAAAACUAGAUUAGACAGCAAGUGGAAUUAGUGCCACACAAAAAUUUAAAAUUUAAAAUAAUAAAAUGUAGCAAUGCAACCAAAUCAAGUAUCAUAUUUCAGAUGUUGAAGUCACUAUAAAAGUUGGGUGGAUUCAUCAAAGUUGAAUUAUUCUCCAUGAGUGGUGUCCCUUCCACCACACUUCUUUAUCAAGAGUGCAAAUACAGAAACCUUGCUGUCAAUGGAAGCCUCCAUAGAAGAAGAAAGGCGGAAGAAGUUAGACAAGCAACAAUGAAUAGGAAGAAGACUAAGGAGGAGACGAAGAAGAAGAAGAAGAAGGGGUUUCAAUGAGCGAGGACCACCAAAUGCAUGCAAUUUGUAUGUGUGGGGUGGAGCCCUAGUGAGCCAUGGCCAAAGUAGGAGGGAACACAACAAUAUUUCUUUGAAAUUUUUCAACAAUAUUUACUUUGAAAGUAGGAGGGAACACAACAAUAUUUCUUUCUUUAUUUAUUGAGGUGUCAUUGUGGAUGAGCAAGGAGUUAUUGUAUUUUAGAAAAAUAAAUAAAUAAAAGAAAAAAGUGUCAAGAACAAAGGAAAAGAUGUGCCUUUUCUCUUUUUGGUGAUGAUGUGUGUUCCUUCAGGGAAAUCCAACAAUGCUUUUGUGGGUUCAAUGCAUAGCUCAAUCCGUCGAAGUUUCAUAGCUUUAUUGAUCUUUUAUUUAUCUGUUUUAUUCAAUUUUCUGUAUAUUUGUGAGAUAAGAAAUUGAAUAGCAUUGUUUCAAACCUUCCCAUUCUUAAGGUAAAGGCCAAAUGGAGCUUCAAAACAUGUUUCAAAAUUUUAAUUGAAACAUGAAAAGUAAACAAAUCCACUAACUCUGCCCAUUUUUCAAGUGUGGUUAUCCUUAGAAAUUGCCAAGUCACAAAUCACCAUCCUUGUUCCAAAGGAUGCAAAGCCAAUGUAUGAUGGCAAAUAAUAUUAAAAAAAAAAAAAAAAAACGGAUGAAAAAAAUAUGAAAUAAAAAAAAAUGCCGAGACCUAAACUUCUUCGUAGAUGUAAUAAAUAAAAUAGAAGCUUAUGAUUGACGAUGAAACCCACUUUCAUCAUUGCCAUAGAACUUAAUUAUGAAGGUUGGAGGGAGAUUUUUUUCCCUACCUUUUUAAGGAAAAAGAGAAAAGAAAUAGGCCUGGGAAUAAUAAUAAUAAUAUUUAUUAUUAUUAUAACAUUGCACAUUGUGAGAUCCACUUGCCAAAAGAGGCAAUGUAUGUGGCCAUAGAAUGAGCCGCCCGCGACACGUAGAAUUGAAGAAGGGCCAGAAAAUUAACACUCUAAGAAUAGCCCAUCACAAAAUUAAAAAUUAAAAAUUAAAAAAAAUCGCCUUCAAACCCCCUUCUUGAGUGAUUCUUUCUUAAAGUCAUCCCCUUAUUUAGCCAUUUCCUUUUCCUUUUCUCCCCCAUCUUUUAUUUUCUUUUUCCCCUUGUAGUUAAAAGUGGAGCAAUCGAUAAAUUUAAUACGGUGGGGGGGAAUUAUGAGAGUGGCCCACAGUAAGUGAAGGGGGGUGGGGGAACAAAAUUGUGAAAGCUCACCCUCACAUCCCCAAACAAGGGAAGCUUCUUUCCCAAUGCUAAAAUAAAAAUAACACCCUCAUCAUGAGGAAGGCCAAAUACAGGGUCUCCAUGCCCAGCCCCAGAGCUCCACCCGUUAAUUAUAGCCCAUGACCCGGUGGGGGACCAGAACGGAACGGAGCAGAAUAGCUCUCCUCCUGGAACCCGUCCCACAUAAAUGCCAACCUAAUCAGAUCCCAAGCUUGAGCUAAUCCAGUAGCCUAAUCCUGUGUCAGAGUGCCCCUUCUAUAGCACUAAUCCUAUGAUUAGCGCCACUGGGUGGGGACUAAGCCAGCAACAAUGGGCACUCAAAUGUAAGCAGAAAUGAGCAACAACAAACGGGUUACCAAACCCUAAAAAGAGGGUCUCAUAAGGCAGUCAACUUUCAUCUACUCUCUCGUCGUACCGUAUGAUGCUGACGGGUACGUCAUCGAGAAAGGGCUCCGGCUUCCAAGUCCUGAGAAUCGAGGGGCGAAACGGAAGGGGUGGAGUUGAGGUGCCGAGCAGGAGGGGAAGGAAGGGGAGGGAGUACUAAUUCAGGGGCAAAGGGGGCACACUAUUCAGGCCCAGGCAAGGGGACAGCGGAGGGGAAGAACCGGGAGGGAAUCCGGGGCAGGGGUUAAAGCAUGUCGCGGGAGGAGCUCCCCCCCUGCCGCCGUGUCAGGCCCCCAGUGGCAGGACCUACCGCGAUGUUGACAUGGCGGCCAGCCUGACUAUAGAGGGGCCGGAGCUCCGCAGCCCGGUGCUUGCUGUCUUGGCCGCUGGCUGGCCCGUGCUGCGAGGGGAGGGAGGGGGGGGGGGGCUGCCUGCCUGGAUGCCGAGAACCUGGAUGAAGCGGAUGAGAGCUAGCAGUAAGCAGCAGCAGGAGCAGCAGCCUGCCUGCUUGCCUGUCGUGCGAGCGAGCGAGCGAACAAGCCAGCAGCAAUCUGGAAAGCCGCCCCCACGCCUCGCCUGGUUUGCUGCGAGGCGAGAGCCUUGCAUGCAACAACAACUACAACAUGGUAAAAAAUCAACUAACUCGCUCUCUCUUGGCUGUGUCGCGGCCACCGCUCGGGGCUCGUCGUUUGUUGACGGUUUGCUGGUGACAGGCGUCGAUUGCUUCCAUGUACUUGUGAGCGUUUCGGUGGACUCGAAUUUCCCGCGUUGGCUUUCUGUGCUGGUGAGAGGUGCUUGUUGAAAGUCGUCCAGUGAUUUUUUUUAUUUUUUUUAUUUUUUUUAUUUUUUCCUUUAAUUUGUAGCUUUCCUGAGAGCGUAUAGAUGGAUUAUAGGAAAGUGAUUUGAGUUGAGUUGACGUGAUUUGGUCAUGGUUUGUAGCUAGAGGAGGAGGAGAAGGAGGGCGAGGAGAUGGAGGGGAUGGGAGGAAGGGGUUGUGGUGGCAGAUUUGGUGACUUAUUGAUGGAUUAGACGUGACGUGAUGUGAUUGAUGAUCAGUAAUGUCUGGUGGGAACUCGAGGGUGUUUGGUGGACAACGGUGGUGGUACCGUAGUAGGGUCGGGAGAGGCAUGAGGGUGAGAGAGAGGAAGAGCGAGAGCACAUGGAGGUUCUGAUCUGAGAAUGGUUCCUCCACUCCCUGGAGAAUUCUGGAAAUCUAUUGCAAAUUCCCUUCUCCCCCCCCCCCCGGAGAUUUGUCAUAACCUUCUUGUGGAGAGGCGCUGUGGAGAUUUCUUGGUUUGAUUCUGCGCGAUCCGCCCUUGGUAUUGGAGGUUGACGGCUGUUUAUUAUUAUUAUUAUUAUUAUUUUUUCUUGUUAUUUUUUCCCUUGGAAUGUGAAGAUUGAUUCGACGCAAAGCGACUAAGAGGCCUUUGAAGCGGUGGUUGUCAACUGUUCCGCUUAAGCUUGUGCUAUAUUAUCUGAUUUUGGAAUGCCGGCGCUGUGGGGGAAUUGAAUUACGAGAUUGAGUGCUUUUGUGAUCAUGCGGUUUCUGAAACGUCUUCGUCGUUCUUUUUUGUUACGGGCUUUAAAUCUUCCCGUGGUUCACCUUCUCCGAGGACCGUCUUGACACUCAAGGUUUUCCGAAGACCUUCUCAUCCUCUUCUUCCCCUUGUAUUAAAAUUGAAGCUGGAGGUUGAAUGUGGUGAUGCCAUGAGAAGCACCGGAUUCUUUGUAGAUAGCACACGAACCCUGCGGGUUUUCUUUCUGUAGAUUUCUUUAUUUAUUUUUUGUUUUAUUGUGCUGGAUAGUGACCAAUGCAGAGGUUGGAGUGUGCCAGUUUGUAAUUUUCUUAUAAUUCUGAGCACGCUCUUCUUUUCAUGCAGUUCGUUUCAUUUCAGGAGAGGAUAGAGUUCAUGUCAAGCUGUGACUAAUCAUCACGGCUUUAAAUUAUCUAGUGCUCGAAGCAUUCCAGUGUGUAAGCACAUUGGAUGGGAAGCAGAUCAAGAAACAAAAGGGGACAAUUCUUCAGGAGUUUUUCCAACUCCUCGGAGAAGAAAUGCCAAGCGUGGCAGCCGCUGCCUUGAAUCAGGAUCCCGAAAAUGCUGCCAUGGUUAUGAAUGACGGUGAAGACGAAUCUUCUUCAAGCAAUGCCACAGUUAGCCUUGACUCCAAAAUCUGGAACAAGUUACCACCCGAGCUUUUAGAAAAAAUACAUCUGUGUUUGCCUCUCAUCAGCCUCGUCCGAUUCCGAUCCGUCUGCAAGGCCUGGGAUCGAAGCGUCUUCGACGAAGGGUUUAUCCAAGCGCGGAAGCAAAGCGUGUCUCAGAAGCCAUGGAUUAUCGUCACUACAACAGCGCUCUCCAUGUCUAUGUUUGAUACAGGCGAGUGUCCACGGCCUCCCCCUAACCUUUGAUCAACUCCUGCAUUCUUACAUUUCUCUUCUCUCUCGUGCUGUGUAUGGAAUCGUGACUUGGCGGCCGCAAAGUGUGUCUCAGGCUCUCGCUACCCUGACGUGAAUGUGGUGCCCGGGAAUUAACUGAAACAGGUGACGAGACAUGGAUUGACAUUCCUAUCCCUUUCAAUGCAAGCAAAGUGCAUGUUGUAGCAGCGGCAGGAGGCUUGCUGUGUUUCUCCAAUGCCUGGUUCCAAUGGCCGGGAAUGUACGUCGGCAACCCGGUGACCAACCGGUGGCGUCACUUGCCCCCCAUGAACACCUUCCUCAUCAUCACAGUCGGUAUGGUAUACUUCGACGACACCCAGACCUUCAAAGUGUUUGUCUGCGGCCGCCGCGAAGAUGACAACCUCAUCACCGAGGUUUACGAUUCAGUGGAGGAUAGCUGGACACCGGGAGGGCUUCCGGCUGCAUCUCGCAAGUAUGGCGGCGACACUCUGGUGUGGCGUGAUGGUGUCUUCUACUGCCUCACAUUCCCUUACAGCACCCUGAACCUCAUCGCCUACGACCUUGCCAAAGGUAUCUGGUUCGACGUCCCUGUGUACAUGCCGUCAGCCAUCAUGUCCCCCAACGUCGUCGCGUGCCAUGACAAACUUCUGCUGAUUUAUGCAAUGGAGGCAGAGGAAGGACAUUUUGUCAUACGGGUGUCGGAGCUAGACUUCGAUAUCUACGAGUGGGUGGAGGUCGAGAGAAUGCCUCCUCAAAUGUGCCGAGAAUUCGAGAAUCUGAUGGUGCAGACGAAGCCACUGUGCUGCUUCAGCACGGGGGACUUGAUUUUCUUCACGAUUUCAAGCAACACUACCUAUUAUCCUGGCGCUGUGUUCGACUUGAAGAAUCGGGUGUGGACGUGGUGGCCGUCAGCGGGCUUCCCACCUCACCUUCCUGAAGUCAACAUGGGCCGCACCAUCGGGUUGAGCUUCGAGCCCCGAUUGCAUGCACUUGUCUGAGCGUGUGUCGAAAUCAUGUGGAUAUCUAUUGAAGUAAUCCAUGAGUGAGUUCCACCAUGCAACGCUGGGGAGCUUAAGCCCCAAGACUCGCAACAUUACUCAUUUUUUUUGAGGAUUUUGGGGACAGCGAAGGUGAACAUCGCGGAAAAUUAACGGAUCCAGGAUUGAAGAGUGUCUUGUUAUUGGUGAAAGCUGUGCCGCUGAGAAGUAUCCGGGAGCCUGGUUGAUCUGCCAAGCAGAUCUCCUCUUUUUAGUUCAAUAUUCUUUGAUCCAAUAUUUGGUUUAGGGCCCACGUUUGCACUUGAUUUGCACUCAGGAUGGUCUAAAUUGUCAAACGAUAGAGAGGUUGUUGUAGCUCGUUGUUACGGAGUUAGCUGGAAUUACCAAUCUUUUUUUCCAUGUAUAGUGUUUUAUAUGAAACGUUGUAGUUGACAGGCAGAAACUUGUGCAAGGCUUCUCUUGAACCGCACUAUUGGAAGAUGCAUCAGUUGCUGCCCUGUCUCAAUUUGGUGGUACUUAAAAUGUGUUGAGUAUUAGUUUUCCCAAGGAAACUCUAUCAGCGUGUUUUAAGCUUCAGUACCUGAUCUGCGAACAUGUGAAUACUACAAAAUUAUUGGAAAUUUGUGGCAGUCGACAAUAUUCGCGUUGUGGCUGCGGUGGAAGAUCAAGCACAAGCUGCGGAUUUGUGGUCCUCCACAUACUAGUUCCCCUCUGAUCAGCUGUCGUGAUGAGCGUGCAUGGACAGUGUUAAAUUCCACACAGUAUCAAGUCCGCCAUGUGUAUGUCAUCCAGUUACUGUGUUACGACAGCAUUUCUCGAGUUGUGUGAGCAGGUUAGGUGCCUAAAUUCAGCUGUCAGAGAACCCCAUCCAGAAACACAACAAGCGUCCAACAGAAACAACCGAGAUUUCGUGUGCAUGUCACUGUAUCCACAAAAUCUGCACUACCGGUAUUUUAUACUUUCUCGGUCGGUGUACCUCUUUGUCCAACAAUGUAGCCGAUCCUCACCUAUACGGUAGCUCAAGGUUGGGAUUUGAGAUUACAAAGGAACUUGAAAUUCUAAACCCAGAAACUUCAUGGUGCUGCAUUGAUUAGCGAGAUGUUGCAUCAAAGAUGAGAAACCCUCUGACCUUGCAGAACAGAUUGUUUUCCGUUCAAAAGCUGGAUUUACAGUCGUAAGCUAAUUUUUGUCGACAUAACAAUACCGCGUCACAAAAAUAUGAUCUGCACAGAAACUAGCCCUUCCGAAACUCAGAAAUUACAAGUUCGAUUUCACCUACUUCGCUUCACCAACUUCUGCGUCAAAUAGGAUACCUUGAUCUAAAAAUAACUUGGGCAUUGUCAGACGAUAUCACUUUUCCAGAUCUGACCCAUGCUCAAAGUGCAUCAAAGUAAAUGACUGCUCUCUACAGUUAAGACGCUUCCAAGACAUUGAAGUAUUUUGAGGUUUACACUAAAAAAAACUGUAAUUCUGCAUGCACAUAACAAAUCCACUAAUACUGUCAGCAAAGCAAGAAUGUGAAAAGAUCUCCCUGGUUUAAAACGCACCCUUUAAUAGCAAGAUUUUGGGGCUAUUUCAGAGAAGAAAAUGGCAAACACCUCUUAUUUGUGGCUGCUUACUCUACCUGAAAAGCACAGUUUACCUCAGAUCCUCCGAUUGCGGUUGCCUCGUGAAUUUUAUCUUCGACAACUUAUGACUCGACUUGUUUUCCCAGAGUGAGCAUUUGUGACUAAUGUGUUUUCUUGCUUGGCCUUUAUCAGCCAAGUGUAAGAUAGACAGGGCUGACCCUGCCUGGUAACUAAUUUAAAAGAUUACUGGUGAUCCUCGGACUACACAAGCAGAAGGUUGCAAGAUGAUUUCAUGGAAUCAAACGCUGCAAGUGCACGAGGAGUCGCUGGAUAAAUCGGCAUACUUGAGGCAUGGUUCAUUUGCUGAGGAUUCAAAGUAAAUGCGGACAGAUUGCCUUGCCUGAAAUAAACGUGUUGUCCGGGACACAGAAACGUGUUCCGACUUUAGUAGAUCUUUAAAAGAAGUUUUUUCUACGGCCUCGAUUACAUGUCGCGUUUUUGCAACCUAGACAAUCAUGGGAAUAGGUCUCAUGUCAUGUCCCAGUGCCAUUAAUUUAAGAAACCGGACCUGCAAAUUAAAUGAUAUGCACCUUACGUCCAGAAGUGCAUUCGUCAAAUUAUGCAUAGGACAAACGGAAGAGCAAAAACUAACCAAGACAUGAAAGCUGGACAUCACUUGAAGUGCUAAAAGAUCCGCUUCAGUACAAAAUGGUAAAUACUAUCAAUAACGUAGGAAUACCUUGAACCAACUCGUAGACCUUGUCAGACACCGCGCUUGUACAAACCCAAAACCGCUUUUAAAAAUGUAGAAAGAUUCCAUGUCCACCAAUGAUCAGCGAACUUUAGAACGAUGAAGGCGGUGGUUUUUAGUGAUGGAGGUGGUGGUUUAACCUAUUUUUACGGGCGGUUUUGUUCAAGUGUACGACUCGGUUCAGGGGUAAAAUGCAAAAACUGCUUUGAUCAUUUUUAUCAAUUCAACCACCGCGGCGAUUCAAUUUUUUCUCCUGGAGCACAUCAGCACAUCAGAACCUUAUUUCUCUACCCAAAACAUUUUUUUUUUUCCAAAAAAGAAAACCUGCCCGAUAUAGCUGAAAACCUUAAGUUGGCGAUUUAAGGUAUUCUUACGUUAUACUGUUGAAUAUUCCUACGUUAUACGUUAUACUUACACAUCACAUGUGCAUCAUCGCUACUUUACACUUGAAAGGUUGAUUUAAUACAGUUGCAACAUGGUGAGAGCGGAACCUGAAGUCCAUGUAAGGGGAAAAGCUUGAGUUGGUCACCGGAAGCUGCCGCAUCAGUUUCAACACCAGAUGAAAGUUGAGCUGCAGAUUGAAACACAGAAAUUGAUGAAGCACCUGCCAAAGGAGGGUAUCAUUACAAUGGGCCUCACACCUUCCGAGUGCUCAUUGCCCACUUCCAAUCCUGAAUCUCCUUGCUUGCGAAGAUGUAGCUCACGAAGCUGACUAAUUGAACUUGAGAGGCCUUGUACCGGUGAAACAAACUGCACACAUAGUAACAAAUUAAAAAACUAAAUGAAAAGUAAUACAGAAACAAUGAGGAGAAGAACAUAACCUCCUUCACUCUGUUUCGAGUUCAAAUUCUGAGGUUGAACAAACGAAGAAAUGACGUAGAACGACUGAGCGUCUAAAGGUGUACUGCCCUGAAUCCAGGUGACGCACUAUAGUGUUAUACUUGUUUGACACGAGUGAAUCUCUAGGAAAAGGUAGGGCAUAAUGACAAACAGCCACUAAAAUUGAAAAGGAAACAGACCAAACAAAACAAAAAGAAGAAGAAAAAGCAGACAAGAACUUUGGAAGGGGGCUCAAUAGGCAGUACUCUAGUGGCGGUUACAGUGAGGAGAAUAUUCUAAUAAUAUCAGUGGUAUAUCGGGAAAUUUUCUAGUGAUAGCAGAAGGAACAUUAAGAUUUCGUGAUUGCUGUUCUCUUUACUCCAACUACACUGUGGCCCAUUAAUCUCCACCCUUCUGGCUUCCAGAGAGGGUCCUAUCUCCAAGGGCAACUCCUACACUCCACAAAGAUUUCGCAAUGUGGGUCAUUGACAAGCAGUUGAUUAGGAAUCCUUGAGUGUGUGCCUUGCUUGCAGGAACACAUAGAAAAGCUAAAAAAGAGCUCGUCAUUUCUCAGUUCUGUAGCAAUUUUUUUGUAGUGAAAGAAUGAUCGCAAUCUCUCGACAACCAGCUGUAACCCACAAUCAACGAAACGAACACAUAUGAAAUGGCAUCUGCACGUUAGUGUGACAAUGAGUUAUCUUUGUUCCACAACAUGGCCAGCUCAACAAGGUCUUAAUUAAUGACGUAUCAAGAGACCUCGAAAAGGAGAGGGAUUAUGAUUUUUGAGCCAAAGGAGAGUAGCUUAAUCGGUACAUUUGAUUUGUUCCUCACAAUCUGGAGUGUACUGGACAACACUUACAAUCCAAACAGAAGUGGACGAGGUGACAGAAUGUGUAGACGCUAACAUGCUAAAUAAAAGAGGCAUAGGAUUAUGCUGAUGCAUAACUAUAGCUUGAGGGUACGAUUUCUUACUCGUGAGCACCUUACACACAGCAAGUUAGUGACCAACAAAUUCAAAACAUGGAGAGGGCAUGCACUAUUAGAUUACGGAACACAAUACCUCUAGAACAGUCGAAGAUUUCACUGAGAUAGGAAAAGCCUGCAUUGAACUCUUUCUAACCCAAACUUUCUUGGCGAUACGCUUGAACCGAUGCUUGCACAAGAUCUGGCAUGGGUAAGAAACAGUGAUUAUUGCUUCCAAUCAGUUAAGAGUCGCAAGUGCAACCUGCACUUGAACUACCCUAAACAAACACAGGCUGAUAAAUCUUCAAAUCCUGAUCUAGUUUUUGAGUUUUUGACAGAGUUUCCAUCACGCUUUUCACUGUCAUAUGAUGACCACCUGUGCAAGAGCCUUCCCAUCUCUAAAGUAACCACGUGAAAUACGAUCUGCACGGACCUGUGAAGCAGGCUCAUCAUAAACAUCACAAUCUGUGCGCCAAGACCUAUAUUGAUUCAGGACUAACGUUCCAUCUCAACGUGUGACAUUCCAUCUUCACCUGUACAGCGCUCUCAACUGCACAUUCUUCUGUGUUGUGCUGCACUUGGUAUUGACAAGCACCAUAGCAGCUCACAAUUUUCUUUAAAGAACAAAAAACAAAAAACAAAAACUCAAGCAUCGCUGUGCCUUCAAUUAAAUUUUGGAAAAUAAACUCAAGUCGUAAAGUCAACGCGUUUUGAAUGGUACACAAUGACUCAAUAUCUCUGGAGUCUUGGCAUACAUGCUGGUGAGAAAUAAUGGGUGAUACAAAGUGGACACCGAUUCCUGUUCCAAAUUUUACAAAUCUAAUGAGAAAGUGUCUAAAUCUGAGGAGGAAGAAGCAGAGGUGUGAGACUGGCAUGUAGGACAGUUGCUGCAGAAAGAGUAGCUGCUCGCAAACGCUUUGCAGGCACACAUGUGAGCAGUCUUGCUUCAAGUCCGUUACUCAUGACCGUGUCCUUGUACCUCCAACAUCACAUAUCCAGUUGCAAUGUUCACAGCCGCAAGUGAUAACCCAAGUACUUCAAGGAAAGUAACCCAGUAACUAGUUGCGCAGCUGAAUUGACCAAAAAAUAAUAUAAAAUAAAUAAAAAUUUGCAUUAUCUGCUAUAAGAAUCAUUCAGCAGGGUAAAUGUGAACCGCACCGUGAUGUAAUCGACAGGUCAAUUCGCAAUGUCCUACUCUUUUUCCAGAGCUGCAGUCACUUCUUUGAUGAGGUCCUUCGCGUUGCCAUUUACGUCGUCCUGUGAUCUUUUGCCGACAAAACUGACUGAAACAUCAUGUCAGGGAUAACAGAUGUGGGUUGAUGAUCAAAUAAGUAGCCCCAUAAAGAGACGUCGUAACUGGUGAUGCUUUACCGAGUUGCCGAAUUGCCGAAUUUCUACACAGCUAGAGCUAUGCUUCAGGACGAUUACUUACAGAACGAAGUGAAGUUAGGAAAGGGGAAGGAGAAGCAGCAGGUGUAGAGAAGCGCGAGAUCACGUUACUCAGUUUAACCCAAAUGUAUCUCUUACACAGCUCUACGCCACGGGGUGACCUAAUUGUCCCAUCAAUAUGACAACACUGCAACUCCGCUGUGGCCCAACACCUACGUGUGUAGGUUUUUUCAUGGACCUGAGGAAAGAUUAGCGGACAACGAUGAAUAUGGAUGGACUGCGCUGCCAUAAAGUGUUGCCAGAAACCCAAAUCGACUUUCACAUAGAAACAAUCAAAUUGCAGCAAAAGAAAAGGGAGUCAAUUCUGUCGAGAAGAUGUGUACUCAGCAGAAAACACCCGGAUUCGAGCAGAAGACCCAGCAAUUGGCAGCUUCAAGGUGGCACAUAUUAUGUGCAAUGAAGUCAUAUGCAAGGAUCUAAGAGAGUGGAUGUCUGGCACAUGAGUGGCACCCCCACUCCUCAAAGCUUAUUGUUGCAGAUACAUGAGCAAUCAAGCGGACGAAGAAAUUCAGAACUGCAAUAAACAGGGGCAUGCUAUUAAGAUUAUAAAAAUUAAAAAUUAAAAAAAUAGAAAAAAAAAAUCCAACGAGGUUAUUGCGGAUCUAGACACGCUUAACAAACGCUGUGUAAAACCAAGAUCGUCCAACUCACCGAAGGCGUCGUCUACUGCCUAUGGAAGCCAACUACUUAUCCCUCAUUAAUGGUGAGCAUUUAAGACGACUCGAUUCAGUCAAAAGUUCCAUGAGUGAAAAAUAAUCACAAUCGCUACCUAACAUUCUAUCGAAGAAGAAACGCCGACCAUGAAGUGAAGAAAACACAAGCCGAAAUAAACACAAGCACACACACAUACACAAGUCAACCGAAUGAUGACCUUAUCAAAUGUUUUAAAGCAUGCUAGCAGUCGCAUUGAAUAGGUACUGGACAAAAUGUUGAAACAACAGAUUGCAAGCCAUCACCAGAAGAUAAACCUCACCACAGUCAGCGUAUUCACACAACCGCAACAGCAGCAAACUCUACACGGAUCUAAUGUCAGAAGAUAAUAACGCCGUAAAGAACUUGUUCCUGCUUCGAGUGUCAGAACAUCAACAGAUCAUACACGUCAGAAAAAUGGUCUUCCCCAGAUUUGAUUCACGUUCCGCUCUGAGCGCCUUCUAAUCUGCUUGUAAAUUGUGGAUAUGUUUCAAACAGAAACUGCUGGAGAUUUUGAAACGCAGCAUCCCAACUCAUGAACAACUCAUCAGCAACUCUCUUUCUGCGUCCUGGAGCCAUGACCUUGGCCUUGAAAGUUCACCAAGAGACAUGCAACACACUCUAACAUAUCAAUCUUCCCGUUCAACUACCGCAUGCACAGACACAAUCGUAUGGGCACAACAACACCACCAACAACGCAAGCAUGGAUUUCAGUGCCAAGAGAUUAUCCACAGGGGGCACCGUCGCCAUGAAAACCGCCACCCUAACUGCAGCGCCGCGCGGUUGCGACGCAGUCUGAACACCACCAUCGCCAUCUGAAGCUUCAGGUUGAAGUUCAUCUUCGACCCACGUCGUUCUGAUCAGCCUCAUUCUGCAACCCCAAUUCAUGAAAAACCUGAACCGAUAGCUUGAUUUGCUUCAGCUGUGUGUUGAUUUGCCACCAAUUGCUUGCUACUCAGUUUCGGAAAACUGGAUUGUUCCACACAUGCAAAUAUAAACCCUUAAAUGAUCAAAGACUCCAUUUUUCCGUGCAUGUUUGUGUCAAGACUUAGCUGCACAUAUCUGAUGGCUGAGUGCGAGUUUUUUUCUUAAGAAAAACGGCUUUGAUGUGGGUCAUUUAUUUGGAUGGUCCGAUCAUUAAAACUUGCCAACUUGCUGUAUGAAUGAAGUGGUAACAGUUCUGGAUUUUUAGGUGUAAAAUAACUAUAGUUUUAUGGGGUUGAACUGUGGAGCUUCAAUGUUGGUGAUGAGCUGCCCUUUUGAAUUUAAUUGUUCUCCUUAUUUUAGGAUUGGUUAUGUUUUGAGAAAAAAAUUAAUGGUUAUCAACAAAAGUGUUGUUACAAAAAUGUCUCCUCUCAUGGGAAGAUGAAAAUAUUACAUAGGAAACCAUUUGUCCAAAUUUUCUGUUGCCAUUGUACUUUUUUAUUUGCUCCAUGGAUAUGUAUGUGUUUGGAAGUAUGUGUAUAUGUAUAUAUAUACUAAUUUAUUUAUUAAUUGAGAGGUGGGGGGGGGGUUUGGCAAUUGCUUACAAGUGUAUGUGUUAUUUUUAAUUAAAAUGUUUGCAAAUGUUUAUAAAAAAUCCUUAAUGAAUGAAUUGAGUUACAUUGAAGCUUGUUUUUUUUUUCAUGCAACAUACAAAUUGAAAACUUGCUGAUAUUUUGUAGACAUUUGUAAAUAAUAAAAUAAUAAAAUAAAAAUAAAAACAUUUGAUGUUAAAAUCCAUUUCUCUUUUAAUUUUUUUACUUUUUAAUUUUGGGGAAUGGGCACGAAAUUAUGACAUGCAUAAAACAAAUAUUUAAAUCAUACUCUAUAUGAAUAUAUGAAAACAUGUGCAGGAUAUUAUCUAGUUCACCUGAUUUUGAUUUUUAUGUGGUACAAAAGAUAGGGAUCCAGCUGUGAAUGUCCUAUUUAUUAUUUUAAAUAUAAAUAUGUACAGAUAUAUAUAUAUAUAUAUAUAUAUAUACUACAAUGCGACAACCAGUAUAUGUACAAUAGAAUACAAAAAAUUGUGUAAUCAGCAUUUCUUUGUGCUUCAAAAACAUCAAUAAACAAAGUUCAAAGUAAAAUUCAAAAACUUAUAUUUUUACUAUUAAGAUCCAAAUAAACACAAAUUUGCAUGCAACGAUGUGUUUUUAGAGAGAAACAAGUUUUCAAAGGUUCUAUAAAGCAUCAUUUAAAAAGAUCAUGCAUGUGUUUUUAUUUAUAUUUACAUUUGAAUGUUAUCAUUGUCAAUUUCAACAUACUCGGACAAGAAACACGUUUUUGAAGGUUCUAUAGAGUACUAUAUAAAAAGAAUGUGUAUGUGUGCAUGGAUUGCAUUGGAAUAUAAUCAUUGCCAAUUCUAACAUUGUAAAUUGGUGGGGUGGCCAUGCUUAUAUACAAAGUAUGUUUAUUUUUGUAGUGUAAUUAGCAAUAAAUGACACAAGUAAGAGGAGUCUUUUAGCCUUGCAAUUUUCACAUCAUAUAUGACUUAAGAAUAACAAAGUAAAACCCAAAAAUCACUACAAGAAUCCAAUAGCAAAAUAAUAGCAAUGUACUGUGCAAUUAGAAUACAAAACUGUGCUACAUUGUUGUAAAACUUUGGUUGUAUGGAAGACUUUGCAUCUGGUUUGACAUACAUUUGACAAAAAAUAUUGAAGUUUUACAAUGUGGCAUGAAAAAUAGUUUUAGUUGCAUGAUGGCUCUGAUCUCAACAAGACAGGAAAUUGCUUUUCAAACCAUGACACUGAAAACAAUGCCACAAUUUUACUUUGAAGUAUUGCAUUAUUAUUUAUCUUAAAAUCUUUAAGUUAUUAUCAUUAUUUUUAUUAUUAUUUUAAGUGGUGUGGUUGAGCAGUUUACAAUGUACUGUUUUCAACACAAGAUCAAAACCAAAUUACAAGUGUAAAAUGCACAACUUUAAAGAUACCAUAUUGAUAAAAUACAUAAAAACAGUAAGAGCAUUAUAAUAAAAAUAAAAAAAUAAAACCAUCCAGAAUUCUAUUAUCAAUUGUAUACAAAAAAUUAGAUAAGAUUAGAAAUCAGUAAAAAAAUUAAGUAAAAACUCAGUUAGAUACCAUUUAAUUUAUUGUGUUUUCUAUGUUACAAUCAGCAGUAGGAGAUUCAUCAAAUUCACAAUUUGAACUCCAUGCUCACCGACAAACCAAACCAACAAAAAAAAAAAAAAAAAAAAAAAAAAAAACCACAUGUAUUCUAUUUCCAAAGGUUUCCACCCUUCACAUGGCAAUAGUAUCAAACUAUUAUUUUGUAAUGCCAUGGUGAGGAUAUAUAUAUAUAUAUAUAUAUAUAUACGUUGGAUAUAAUAAUAAUAAUAAUAAAUUUUAUUACUAUCAUAAUAAUUUAAAAGGAAAGUAAAAAGAAGGGUCACAGAUGUCUGAAAUGCCCACCUGUGGAAUCAAAGCCAGUUAUUAGUUGACUUGAACCCUAGACCCUCGCCACGUCAGCCAAAUGCUCUUCAAUGCUACUACACAGAAAACCAUAAAAAAAAAAAAAAAAAAAAAAAAAAAAAACCCCCAAAUGGAGUCAUGCAACCCUUUGCCCCUGUUUGUUUAUUUGUUUACUUAUUCUCUUCUCUUCCCCCCCCCCCUUUUUUUUUUUUUUUUUUUUUUUUUUUCCUUUAUCAUUUAUGGGUUCAUUUGUUAUAUAUAUAUAUAUAUAUAUAUAUGUGUGUGUGUGUGUGUGUGUGUACCCCAUAAUAUGGGAUACAGUUUUAGAUGGUUUCAUAACAAUUGUUUUACAUUAAACAAAUUUGUUAUUCAUUAGAAGAGCUUGUUUGUAUCUAUUACCAUAAUUGAGCACUUACCACAACUUACAACGUAGAUUUUUUGAGUACAUUUAUGAAAAUAUAAAAUUUUAUCUUUUAUUUUGACCGUUAUGAGAUUAUUGUCAUAUGUUUAACCUUGUUUAUAUCAAGCAAGUAUUAUAAAAUUGCAAUAAAUCAUAAUCUUUUAAUUUUACAAUACUAGUCUUCUUUUAAUUCUGAAGAACAAAUCAUUAAUAGAAACAGGAAUGGAUAUUCAAAUUAACUUUUCUGUUGAACUGAUACUCAUACUUUAAAAUAGUUUACAGCAACAUUAGCUGAUUCUGUUUAGUAUUAAAUUAUUUUUAUAGUUUUAUUUAUUAUUUUGAAAUUUAAAACUGUAUUUCAAAAUUACAAAAUAGCUCAAACACGAAUUUAAAGAAUAUAUGUUGUUAAUCAUAAACAUCUUUUUAAAUUAAAACCUUUUUUUUUUAUGUUUUGUAAUUAUAAAACAUAAGAAAAAAUGAGCACAAAUAAAUACAUCCUAUAGGGCAUUUCAGAACUGAAAUUAAUUGUAACAUUAUAACACUUCGAAUUAGAAUAUUGUGUGUUGUUAUUAUUUUAAUAUGAUCAUUUUUAUAAUUUUAUUUUUAAUCUUUUCAGAGUUCUAAAUUAUUCUUUGUAGUUUAUUAUAUAUCAUUCAUUUACUUUACAUAAAAUUUGAAAAAUAAAACUUGAUAUCAAAAUUUUGUACCAACUCUUAGUACCAACUUAUGAUAUUUUUAGUGCUGUUAUUUUGGUAAAAUUAAUAACGGAUUGAUUGAUGAAAUAUUUCUGGUAUUUAAAUUUUAAAUUUUAAAUUAAAUUUUAUAAUGAUAUCAAUUUUUCUUAUGAUGUUUUAGAUCUCAGCUCGAUUUUUAAUUUGUUUCGAGAAAUAUUGAAUUUAGUUAAAUUUAAUUGAUAUUUCCUAUAAUAAAACUCAACAACAAUUAUUUUCUAAAUUCCUAUAAAAUUAAAUUUUAGACUUCCAAGCAACAACGAGAUUUUUAAAUAUAUAUAUAUAUAUAUAUAUACACACACACACACAUAUAACAGUUAAUUCGUAUGUUGGCCAAUUAUCUACUUAAAUCUUAUUGAUCUGAUUUGGUUUCGAUUUAUUUUGCACACAGAUUCGUACAACAUUUUUUACUAUUUAAAAACUCUCUUUAAUUCUCACCAAGACCGUAGUUUUAAUAUUUAUACAAUUUAACAAUAAAUUAUUGCGCAACAUUCUUUUAAGAAUGCUGCAUAAUCACACUGUUUUAGUUUCGUUUUAAUUUUUAAUAUAUAUAUAUAUAUAUAUAUAUAUAUAUUCCAUCAAGCCAUGUACAUCUUAGCAGCUUAAAUAUAUCUACCAACUUAACAGUAAAACUACACUCUGCACAUGCCUAUACAUACACUAUAUAUUCAUUAUUAUUUUGUACUUUAAUUGCAUUCGUUUGCCAAGUUAUAAACUCUUUGAACAUAAUGCAAUGUUCUAGAACUUACAAGCUUAUUGAAAAUUUUCUAAUUCAUCUUAAAUAACAACUUUCAAGGAUAUUUAGACAUAAAUAUAGUCACUUAUUCAAAUACUACACAUUGUAAUGUUAUUAGAUCAAAAUGUUCAAAAAUCAUGUACAUUUGAUGUUAAAAAACAGAUAAAACAUGUAUUUUACCAAAAUUUGUUUCCAUCAGUUAAUGUUUUACAAUAACUUACAGAAUUUUUGGACUAUUUUAUAUCAAACAUUGAAAUCUAAAAACAUUAAAAAGAUUACAGAAAUUAUAAUUUACAAGUAAAUAAAUUUCAUUUAAGUAAAAAAAUAUUUUAAGAAAAUUUUAAUCUUUAUGAUAAAUUAUUAUCAAUAGUAACUUGAAGAUUACAAUUCUAUUAAAAUUUCCAACAUUUAGUAUCGAAUCAGUAUAAGAUUAAUUAUGAAAGUACUAAAUUACCUAAAAAGACUGCCUAACAUUUUCGUCAAAAAUAACAACUGUUAGAUCUUUGUACGAAUUCUAUGUUAUUUUAUAAAUCAAGUUUUUUUAACAUAAAAAUAAACAUGAAGUUUUACAUUUUAAGUUUUAAAAUGAGUUUUCUUAUAUAAAUUAUUAUAAAAUUGUUUUUUAUUUAUGAUUAUAUAAUAUUAUCAAUUAAGUCUUAUCCUUUGUUAAUUUUUUUUAUUCAUGGUUAAUUUUAUAUAAGAAACUUAUUAGUCUUUGUAAUGUUAAAUUAUUUUAAUUAUUUUUAAACCAUUAGUGUAAAAUUAUUACAAAACAUGAAAUAAAAUAAAUCUAUUGUUUGGAUAUAUAUGAUUUUAAUAUAAAAUAUCGUUUAUAAAUUUAAUUAUUAAGCAUUGGAUAGUUUAUUUUAUGGAAUUUUAUGUUAUUAUCUAUUGUUUAAAUGUUGCUUAAAUAAUAUCAAAUUUAACUUUUUUUUCCUUUUCCAAAAAAGACUUUACAAUAAAAAAGUAUGAGGUUUGAUAUUGUUAUUUUCAAAAGAAGUAUUAAAAAUCAAAGUAGAUUUAGAACUGCGAAUGAAGUGUAUAAAGAUGACAUAUGUAUUUACAAUACUAAUGAUAAACUAAAACAUUUUUUUUUUGUAACUAAUAUAUUAGUUACGAGUUUUCAAACUUUUUAAUGAUUGUACAUUACAUCUUAUUAUUCGAAAUAACAAACAUGAUUAGAAAGUUUUUAUUUAGAUGUCUGCUGAGUACCAAUAGUAUCUUUUUAUUUAUUUAUAGUUUUUGUUAUUGAUUUUUAAGUAAUAUUAUUCAAAAAAUAUAUAUAAAUCUCAAUUUAUUUAUGUAUAUUAUUUUUGUAAAACUUCAUAACCAUCAUUUGACAUAUACAACAAAUAAUCAUUCCCUUUAAAUGAAUCAAUUUAUAGGAUUUAAUACAUAAUCUAACAAUAAAAUAUUUUUCUAAAAUAAUUUGUGUUUGUACACUACAAAUACAAGGCAUUCAUUUAAAUCUUAUUGUUCUAAUAGUGUUCUAUCUGGAAAGAUUUGAAGGACCUGUGUUUUGAUUGAAAGUUUUUAAAACUAUGUUGUAUUAAAACUCAAUAGCACCCUUAUUAGAAACCACAAUUUUGUUUAGGCCUACAAUUUGUACCAUUUUUUUUUUUCAAAAUCAGAAUCAUAAUUUUUUGAUGUUUGUGUUAACAUGUAUAUAUGUAUGUAUUAUUUUAUGUAUAUAUAUAUAUAUAUAUAUAUAUUUCGAGUGAUAAUUAAAAUUACUGUGAUAAAUAUUUUAAUGUUAUCUCUGUUAUGUAUAUAUAUAUAUAUAUGUACAUAUUUAAAUAUAUAUGUUACUUUAAGCAAAUACAAUUGUUAAACAUAUUUUGAAUUUUAAGUCAUACUUGCAUAUUUUAUUUUUUAUAUUUGAGUACAUCAUUGUGAUGAUCUAAGUUACUUAUUACUUGCUUAUUAAACAAAUGAAAAAAUUAUCGAGUUGUGUGUGGGAGAGACUGCAGGCACACAAGCUUGGACACAAGCGCGGGAGUUCGAUGUGUCAUUCCCGCGUGAAAAUGCCCGCCACGCAAGCGUGUGAGGGGGAUUCAUAGUCAUCAUGGAGGUUAAGGGGGAAUGCCCAACUCGACAAUAUCCCACAAGGUGGUCAGCUGAGGUGGCAUAGGGGAGUGGGGUCGGGGACCCCCACCACCACCACCUCCGUUACCUCACUUUUCCACCACCUCUAAAUCCAAUAUGGGCCUCGGAGUUAGUUGCUAGCUAUAGAGAGAGACAGAGAGACAGAGAGCUCCCCGAAGCUGGACACCACGGGCGCCGGAAUGGAAGGAAGCAGCGACCCGAAACCCGUCGAAGCAACUCACUCACUCACUGCCUGCUAGCGACCUCGCGUACACGCGAGACCAGAGAGUGAGAGAGAGAGAGAGAGAGAGAGAGAGAGAGCAUGGGCAGACGGGGAAAGGAAGAAAGGGAGGGAGAAAGCGAGACAGAAGAAACAAGAGAGAGGGAGGGGGAAAUCUUAUCUAGCUCGCCAGGAUGGCACACUUAUCCUAUCCACUACAGAAGCAGGCUGCGGGAGGGCACGCCUUCCGAUCCGAAUCCGACGGACUAGAACCGAGAAUGAGGGGCAUCUUGUUGCGACUUAUCGGGUGCCAGCACUGCGCGCCGACUUCGUUGCAGCCGCAGUGGGCCUGCAUCCUUGCGGGUCCCAGUGCUCUCAUCCGCAUUGCCAGGCAGGUCAUUGCCACACCCGUCGUCAUGACCUGGCCCCGACCCGACCCGGGCAUAGAUGACCCUGACCCACCCACGCACCCACCCGCCCAGCCUGGCGCGGUGGCAGGGUUACUGCGAAGGGAGAGUGGGAGAGGAUCCAUCCCCCUGCCUGCCUAGUCCAGCAUUCGCUCUGGGCCCGCGAUUCUCUGCGCGACGUUCGCUACCCGUGCUGGCUGGGGCACCCGUGCGUCCGGCGUGGUGGUGGUGGUAGUAGUCUCCUGAGCGGGGAUGGGGAUGCUGCCUGCUGCUGCCCCAUCGAGGAGGAGGAGACCCGGCCUGCGCACGAGAGAGCGACAGAGACGGGGCUUUAACACUUUCCGCUGUGGCAGCAGCAGCAGCAGCAGCAGCAGCACUGUUACUUGUUUUCGACUGCUGUGUGUGUGUGUGAGAGAGAGAGUGUGUGUGAGUGAGAGAUUGAGAGAGAGUGAGGGAGAGAGAGUGCGGCGUGUGUGAGAGUACCUGGUGUUGUCGUCGUCGUAGACCAAGGUAUGGAUUAUGGCAACUCCAUAAGCGUCGUUACGGAUUCUUUCUAAUCUUAUUCUUCGAGUCGAGUGUGUCUGUGUGCCAGUGGAAGAAGAGGUGUCCUUGUUUUUAUUUUUGUUAUUUUUGUUUUUUGUUUUGUUUUUUUGGUUUUCUUCCCCCUGAGGUCGCUUGCGCUGUUUUUUUUUUUUCUUCUUUCGAGCCCGUUUGAGUCGCGCGUGUGCGACGAGUUUUUUUUUUUUUUUUUUUUUUUUUUUUUUUUGUUUUUCUUUCCCUCCUGGCUGUGUUCUUCGAUCUCGAAGAUUUUUUUUUUGAUAUGCUUUUGUAAGUGUUCGUGUCGUUUUUUCCUGCUGAGGCGAGCCUUCGAUCGCGAGCUUGGAUUCUCAGAGUGGUGACAAGGAGUGUUGGUGUGGCUCGUUUUGCGUAAUUUCGACGCUCUCCUCACUCCUGGUGGUUGUACCAGGAAUGGUCUGAGUAGUAUGCAAAGGCCGGGUAUUUGAGGAAGGCUGUCCGCAACUCCUCUUUGUCUCGCAGCACUUUAUGCCGAUCCUUGUACGGGUUUCGUGUUCACUGUCUGUCUGAUCGGGUUUUAAUUUCGGUUCACUUGGCUUGGGUGAGAGAGACACGUCGGAGGAGAUUUGUUGGACCGAGUGUGGCUUGGAUUUCUCAGUGGCCCCUUGGUGUCCCUACUCGUAUCCCUCCUCCGAUGGCUCAACCUAUGAGGUUUUGGUUUGCUUCUUCUAGGGACCGUUUUUUGCGGUAUCACGAAGAGAAGCGGAAGUGUUUUACGUUUUAAGUCCAAUAACUAGAACACCGCUCAUUCCUCCUUUUGAUCGUCUAGGUCCGCAGAAGUUGACAUAGCUUCUUUCGGCGUCGAGUAGUCCGUAGUUCGCAAUAGCAACUUUCGCAGUUUGAAACUGUGGAAGAUUUUUUUUUUUUUUUUUUUUUUUUUUUUUUAACCUUUAUUUUUUGAUUUAUUUCUAAGCACUGAUUUUCCCAUUUCCAGCCUUUUGCUUUGGAAGAUUGUGAACUCCGAGUUGAUUUUUGAGCGGAGCUCGGUGUGCAUGUCGCACAUGUUGCUAAAUUACUACCUUCGGAAGUUGACAACGUUCGUUGUGCUGUUGCAGCUCCAGGGGGCUCCGCAUAUUGUCUACAAGGAAACCAUGUCCACCGGAGAAUAAAUAGUGAAUCCUGAAAGAUCACAAGCAUUCUUUAAUUCAGUCUCUAACAAGGAAAUCUUGAAGGACUCGAGGAGUCAGGAGUUGAGGAUCUCGUGCUGAUCAUUCUCUGACGGGUUGUACAGGCAGUUAGAGUCCUCCAGACUGUAUAGUACAUCAAAUAAUAUCACAUAGAAGAACGCCUGCCAUGGCCCAGCAGACAGGUGGGGGUGGGACAGGUUCAGGCGCUUUGGGAAACCAGUUUGGCGAUACUACUUUCACGAAGGUGUUCGUAGGCGGGCUAGCAUGGGAGACGCAAAGAGAUACCAUGCGUCGUCAUUUCGAACAGUUUGGUGACAUAUUGGAAGCUGUGGUUAUCACGGAUAAAAACACUGGCAGAUCCAAGGGCUAUGGCUUUGUGAGUACUCCCUUGUCACAGGACCUUUACUCUCAAAUAACCUGGGGCUUUGUUUCUUUCGCGGUGACUGGCGGAUCUUUUGUUUUGUUGAAGAGCUACUAUACUGCCUGCUUAUCGAGCCCGAUGCAACACCUUAUUAAAACGCAGGUGACUGGGCUGGAAUGAUAGACAAUGCCCGCAUCGAUCGCAUCCUAUUGGAUCGGCACUACGAUAAUUAUCUGUAGAAGAAAAAGGCUUGUUCUGAAACCAUUUAAUGGUUUACUGUCAAAGAAGACUCUCGAUACCAAUAAGUCCCUAUCUGAGUCUCAUCUUCUUUCAGAUAUUGGACUUGGCGUUUAUACGUAGUCUCCAUGCUGUAUCUAGGUACUAGUUGGGUAUGGUGGUUUUUCGUCUGCAUACGCAGCUGUGUACUGCACAACUUUCCUCAUCUUCAGUUUUAAUAUUUCCUCCACGCAACUAAGCUUUUUCGUAUCCUCCUCAGUCUUCUAACCGUCGACUGAAAAACGCACGCUUAGACGUUGACCUACUACUGUUCGUGUCGCGGUCUUUAUUUUGAAAGCAGGAAGUUUACAGCCGUUUAGAAGCGACUCUGGUGUUUAGAACGUAAUAAUGCUUCCAAUGGAUUGGGGCGUUUCUACAGCAGCCUAGGGAUCAAGUGAAAACGUACAUUUUCAUUUGAGAAAGGGGCUUUUUCUUUUGACUUCGUAAUAUAACCAGGUCCAUCGUGCGAUAAAACUCGUUUCAUCCCAGUCUUUGUUUUCCGCAAGUGCAGAAGUUUAAAUUCCCCCGACUCCCCCCGACUACAUUUAUGUCCUUGGCUUUGUUUUGAGGACGAAAAUCAGUCCUGUAUCGUUCUUUUCGUGUGGAGGAAACAAAUAGUGAUGCACAUUCUCGAUCUGUUACGGUCUUCCGGGCUAGAUUGGUGGUGGGAGAAUGGAUGCAGACUGAGAACAACGCUAUGAGUUGGACCCGCUGAAGGAUUCGGAGUCUGCAUUGUUUUGGAGACGCAUGCAGGCAUGCGACUUAUAUAGGUAGUCAUGAGUGAAUAUCUUUACGCCCAUGAGAACCCGGCUGGUAGAGAUGUCCAAUCGCCAACGAAAUUAUUCUAAUUGUUCACGUUUGGACGAUCAGUGGUCGAAGCUGGAGUUACAGGGAGAGCAAGCGUGUGGGUUCAUAUAGAUUCUAAGGAUACAACCCUGUCUUCACUGGUACGACUGUACUUAAACAGCUGUAUAACUCCUGCAAUGACUGAGACAGUGCUGUGUUCGUUCAGGUUACCUUCAGGGAUUCAGAAUCAGCAAAGAAAGCUUGUGAAGACGCUACCCCAAUUAUAGAUGGUAGAAGAGCCAAUUGCAAUUUGGCCUCUUUGGGCGCUCACCGCCAUCGUCCUCAUGGGCAGCAUGGUAUAACCAACUGACUCUAUUUACACACUUUUUAUUUGCAACUUAUAUUUUUUGAAUGUUUUUCGGGGAAGGUUUGUUUGUGUUCAGUAAAAUUCCUAAGCCUGAUCGUGCAGGACAGAUAUGUUAAUUAGUUGUGUAUUAGGUUUAAAUCUCAUUACAGUCCUGCUCUCGUAAAUGUUGGUUACAACGCGGCAUUCUGUAUUAAAAUUCUAUGAAUAGAGAGUUUGCUGUCCCCGUGGGUACUCACAAACACGAUUAAGAGUGACUUCGUUGGCUCAGGAUCCUGGGCUAUAGUUUGAUUGUCAACUUACUGGGUUCUCUCAGAAACUAGGGUGAAAAGCUAGGGGUAUCACAUUGUACCUUAAGGUGCAGAUUAAAAUCAGGAGUUGAGAUAAACUGACGAGGACAAUUUCUAAUCCACCUCAGGCAAUCGAUUUCGACCGGUUCCUGCAGGCCCUCAGCAGGGAGGGCCCGGUUUCACUGGUGCUGGAUCAUUUCCCCAACCUGGUUCGCCUUACGGUCAUCCAUCGCCAGGAACAUUUUAUCCUCCUUUCGGCGGGUAUGUUAUCCAAUGCACAAUAUUGUUAUACGUACAUCUUGUGUGUUGCUCUUUAUUGGUAAACAGUAUUCUGAAAAGAUUGAACAGUCAUUUAUUCUUUGAGUUGCAAGCACUUUUUUUCGUGCCUCUUUGUUUGAUUUUAAAGGAUUAGGAUAUAAUUAUUUACAGCGAUUGGGAUCGCUGGCUGGAGAAUGCAGUAGCUUCGUUUUUCACUAAGGCCCAUGUUUGCUGAUGUAAUACCAAGCCGAGGCUUUAGCUACAGCGAAGUCGCGUAUCCUCCGUUUGGUCCUUUACUUGUUUUCGGAUCUUAAAAGCAUAGUUUGAGCGAUGGUUAAUUAUGGGUUGUAUGGAACGAGGACACUUAACCCUCUGUGUCUAACCACUUCAGGUGCUCUCGCAUUGAUAUAUGUUGUAACACAAGGGCAGUCUCGGAAGCUCUUCAUGAUACCUUUCAUUCUGCACAAAUGGAGAACAACGGUGCACUCCGCUCAUAGCCGCAAGGCAAAGGCUGGACCUAAUAGAGAUCUCUGUGUGUUUGUCUGUUACAUCAGGUAUCCGCAAUACCCUCAAGACUACGCUAGCUAUCCUCCGGUGCGUGUAUUCCUUCAACUCUUUCUACGGUGUUCUGCAUGAUGGCGUUUUUAUAGAAUACGGGACUUGGAGGGCUGGAUCUAUAUCCUCGACAUUACCUUCAUCCGUCUAUAUUGGGGUUAAACAAGAAAAAAAGAAAAAAGAAAAAGAAAAAGAAAACUUAUUAAUUAGAACCUUCCCGCCAGCGGAGUAGGCCGCGGUACAUUUUGUGCAGUACAAGUUGUACAUGUUUACGGACAGACUCAGUGCGCCUUGGAAUUCAUUGCAUACUCAUUAUUACCUCGUCUGUGCUGCUCCGCAGAAUUUGUUUCAGUAUGGCGCUCCACAGUACCCACAGAUGUAUGGAGCACCUGGUGCUAUUAGUCCUGGAUCAGGUCCCGUGUAUCCUUAUGGAUCCUUCACGACUCAACCGCUACAAGGAGGCCCUAUUUAUCCCGGCACGCAGUAUGGUUUUCAAGCACCACAGGUGUAUGGUCCUGCUGGUGCCGGUUUGUCACCUUUGACCUCAGCUUAUGGCGGCUCAGGCACCCUUCCCACAUCGACACCUACAGGAGGUACAGCCGCCCUUCUCACUUAAUCUGGUGCGAAGUGCACCAUUCGUUGACUUGAGAAUCCGUCCAAUCAUGUGACCGUAGUUGUAGUUUACUAAUAGUCGUUCUCAGAAUGUUUUACUGUUGCCCAGUGUGUAUGGCGGUGCACAUAAAAUUAGUAGUCGCGGUGUUGCUGUUUCCAGCUUAGUAUUGAACGCCGGUUGCACACUUGUCUACGCCCGGUUGACCGUAUUACCCAGGUGUUGGUCUUCAAGUCCUAAUUUCUUCUAUGUUUUUCUUGUUCCAAAUCUUACAAGUCAAUUUUGUUCAACAGACAGCGAAAUUGGGUUGUUGCAGUGGCAAGCUCUAGAGCAUCAAUCAACUUUGACUCCCGCCUCUGCAACGUUACCCCAUCUUGAAACUCUCAAAAUAGCCCAAUGACGGGUCUAGCCUUAGUAUCUGUCUCGUUCUAGGAUGUCAAAUAUUGUGAAUUAGAUCCAUUAAGAGGAAAGAGUCAUUCAACCAGAUAGAUAACCUUAAACUUACCCUACUUUCUACAGUCAAGCAUUUGUUAGUCUCUAUUACUGUGAUGAUGCUAGGUGUACAAGAUAGGUUAGGGCUGUAAAUUUUAGAGACGCUGCAACAUUGCUCAUCAUUUGGGGCUCACCAUCUCGGGCUCUCUUUUGAUAAUUAAGAGGAUUGUUGUAAAAGCACAUUCCGAAACACUUUCCAUGAGCACUUUUUUGUUACGCUGUACCUCGGCGCACCAGCAAGUGGGUUUUGAUUUUCAACGUACUCUCUCAACGAGAUGUACGGAGGCCAUACUUGCGUCUGCUACCUUCUUAGUCCUUCAUAGUUGCUUGUUGCUGCAUGGUAGCUGGCAUGCCAACCUGGAGCUGCAAGUGGCGGUUUGUUUUAGUGAAGGAAUUGAAAAGUUGAGGGAUUGGUUGUGGGCAGGUGUAUCUCCUAGUCUAUCUGCUGGACAAGUAGCUGGGCAGGUCUCUCCACAACAGUAUGCAUUGCCAACAGGCUCGCAGCAACAAUACUCUAGUGGAGGCGGCUCGGAGCAACAGUCCGGUUAGCUCAUGUUCGCAAGAACCUUUGUUGACAGGAACAGGGAGAGAAUAGGCGAAGGAAUCGGUCAGGGAGCAAAUCAGAUAUACACGCUAGUCGUGGCCUGACCUGUGAAUGCUCCAAAUUUGUGGUAAUGUCGGGUCUACUAAAUCCUGAACUCCUGCAUAAACUAGUUGCCCUGCCUCGGGAAAAUCUAAGUCCUAAUCCUACUCUUCAAUCCUCGCUCCCUUCCACAUGUCUUGUUCAUUUUCCUCCCCACACUCUAUUGACUUGUACUGCUAUUCUAACAACUAACUUUUCACUCUUAAACUAUGCACUGAGGUCUAUAAUUAAGCCCUUCCCUCAGUGUAGAUCAAUCAUCCUCCACUGGUUUCUUCACCCUCAGGGCGGUUCGAUCCUCCUUUCGUUCUCUCAACAGAGUUCGGUUGUAUUCUCAAGGAUUGGCAUGACUGUGGUUGGUGUGAGAUUCAAGCAACAGCUGGAAGUUUUUCCCUUCUGCACCGAUGAGGUAGGAGCAGACAUAAACAGGAUAAACUAGCAGCCGCAGAAUGCAACGAACCUUCGGGAUUGUCCGCACUCCUGGUUUUGUGAUUUUAUUGCAUCGCUAAACGCAUUCGAUGCAUCGUUAAUGCAUUACACUGCCAUCAUCCUCUUUCCGACACUUAUUCCCUCCCCCACUUUUAACUUGUUUCCCUGAGUUGUUUUUUUCUAGUCUAUAUCUGCAGCUCGUAUGCUCUUAUUAUCGUCCAUUUCUAAGUUUAUCAUGUAGCAUUGUGGCUGUACAUAGUAAAAUAUGAAAUAUUAAUUGAUUAAUAUAUAUAUAUAUAUAUAUAUAUCAAUUAAUAUUUCAUAUUUUACAUUGUGUUAGAUUUUUUAUAUAUUUUUAAACAUACAAAACUCAACUUUUAUGGAAGUUUGUACUUUUUAAAACUUUAGAGAAUCUAAUUUAAAUUUAACACCCAAGCAGUAUUUAAUUCUCUCUUUGUUUAACAAACUUGGAUUUUUUUUAGUGUUUUUGUGAUGCAAGUAAAAUUGCAAAUUAUUAUCACUUGAGGCUGAAUGUAUAAUCCAUCUUUAGAUAAAGCAUUGGCAUUAGUUAUCAUUGUUUUAUUUUUACAUAGACAAAGAAUAUUGUAGCAAAUACAUUUUUCUUCAUACUAUAUAUAUACAUAUAUACAUACAUUAAUUUAAUAAAUUUAAAUAUUUUUGAUAUAGAAAUAUUUAAUUGAAUGCAACUUAAGUAAUAUAUUUAUUUAUUCAAUCAAAUAUAUAAAAAAUUGAUCAAAUAUUUUUACUUUUAUUUCCAUAAACUUAAAAUUUUUUUUUGGCGAAAGUAAUAGUUAAGAUUGAAGGUAUUUAACAUUAUUUUAUUCAAAAGAUUUUUUUUACAAUUUAAACACUUUGUGUGGUAAUAAUAUGUCUUUUUCCAUUAACUAUCAAGUAGAAUCAUUUCUAUUAAUCAAUAUUUUAUUUAAUUUAUCUAAAUUCAAGAUCUAUAGCAUUAUAGCAAUUUAACUUGAGUUAUUUUAAAUAUCUUAAAAACGAAGUAUAAAUAUCCAUUCUUUAUUUGGAUUUUACUUCUUUUUUAUUAUUAAAUUACAGCCUCAUAGAUACAAUAUGUUGUAUUUGAUUAUUAAAUAAUUAACCAAUUAAUUAAUUAAAAAAAUUCAUUAACUUUUAUGUGUGUAAUGUUAGAUCAUUUUAAACUAAACUAUUGUAUCUUUCAUAUAUAUAUAUAUAUAUAUAUAUAUAUAAACAUAUUUUAUUUUAUUUUAUUGUAAUAAUGCAAUAUUUUAAAUAAAGAUAAUAAAUUCUAUAGUUUACAAAGUAAGCACUUUCAUAAGUAUGAUUCAAAAUGAAUGCUUAUAACGAAGUAACAUUUUAAAGAGUCUAUUAAAUAAAACUUGUAUUUUGCUACAUGAAUGUAGUCACUAAUAUUUAAGUUCGCAAAAUAUUCUAAUAUUUUCUUCUAAGCAAAUUAAAGUAUAUAUGUUUUCUUAUUUUUGUAUAAUUUCAAAUGAUAUAAUCAAAUAUUAUUUUGUAAUAAUAUUUUGCAUAAAUUUGGUUAUUAUACUUAAAAAGUUUAUGUAAAUUUAACACUUAUUUCUAAAUUUGAUAUUAUAAAAAAUUAAUAUUGUAAUGAUGUGUUAAGUUAUAAUUUUCUUUAUAAAUUUAUUCUUCUUUUAUUAAGUUAAUAUCAUUAGUUAAAUAUAUUUUUAUAUUUUAAUUUGAAUUUAAUUAUUUUCCAUUAAUAUAAUUUUAUAUAUUUUUUGAUUAUUUCAUUUAUUUAUUUAUCUUAAAUCUAAAUGUCAUAAGUAUUAUCUUUGAAUAUUUCUUAAUAUUAUAUUAUAUUUUUAACAUCUUUUUGUAUAAAAUAUUAUUUAUUUGUAUAGAUUAAGUUUAUUUAUUUAAGUAUUUGUUAAUAUUUAUUGUAAUGAAAAAAUUAAGAAAUACAAAAAGUAUGCUUUCAAAUGAGUGCUUAUGGUGGGUGUAAUAUAGUGAAUAGUCAAUAAAAAAAACUCUUGUAUUUUUUCACAUAAAUAAUCAGUCAUCUAUAUUUAAAAUUUUAAAGUAUUUCUAUAACUCCUUUGAGUAAAGAGAAUCAUAUUUCCUUUUAUUGUAUUAUUCAUAAUUGUUUUAGAAGGUCUUUAUUUAGACUUAGAUAAGAUCAUAGUUACUAUUAAAUAUAUAUUUAGAUUUAUAUGUAUAUAUAUUGGAAAUAAAUAGGAUUUUUUUUAAAAAUAUCUAUCUAUAUCUAUAUAUAUUAAUAAUUUAAAUUAUUAAUAAAUUCAAAGUAUUAAAAAAAUAAAUUAGUAUAGAAUUAUUUUAAUUUAUUUUAAAGAAAAUAAAAGGAAUAAAAAUCUAUAUAUUAAAAUUUUAUUAUAAAUAUUUAAAAUUAUAUAUAUAUAUAUAUAUAUAUAUAUAUAUAUAUAGCUCAAGCUACAAGUUUCUAUACUCAAUCCAAAUUUCUAUACUCAUACCUAUUAUGUCUAUACAUACAUCCAAGGUCUUUGAUUGGCUGAUUUAAAGUUCUUUUUUCUUAUCUCAAGGUAUGUUCUAAUUUCCUCUUCUCUUUAUUUGAUCCACUAUAAAUCCCAAACCACUUUCUUCUCUUUUUUGUUUAGACCUAGACUCAAAUUCCCUCUUCCACCAAAACAAAAAAAAAAGAAAAAGAAAAAAAAGAUUGAAACUUGCACAUGACAAAAGAUGAAGUGGAGUUUGUGGUUAGUUUUUGUGAUGGGUGUGAAAUUGGUGCAUGAUAACAUGAGGAGGAAGAAGGUGUUUUGGAGCACCAGAUAGCUUGUUGCAUAUAGUCAAGAGAAUUAUUUUUUAAACGUGUUUUGUAAAGAGAGAAAAUGAGAGAUGGCAGGGUUUUAUGGUGAUGAUUGCAAAAGAAUGCAUUAAUUUUUUGCCCUAGCAAGAGGAUUUCAAGGGAGCAACAAUAUUGUAUUGAAGUGGAAUAAAUUGAGCUAUAUUGAAAAGUAAAGAGCCAAAACAAGGAAGAAAGAAAAGAGAUUGGAGACCUGUUUCAAGCUAAGUAAGAAGAAGAGGAUAGGAUUGAGACAUAUAUAUAAAAAAAAGAAGCAAGGAAAGAAGUUCAAGCCUUGUGCCUUGACAACAAAGAAGUAAUUUGCAACAACUAAUCAAAGCCCUUAAGUGUAUAUAUAAAUAUAAUGGAUGUAUGUAUAACAACUUGGGAUGUGCUUGUCGCUUGAGAUUAUAUAUAAAUUCAUAAGAAGUGGAUUCUAUAAUUAUAUUGGAAAUAUUUUAAAGUAAUAAAUAUAAAAAAUUAAAUUAUUUUUCUUAUAAGACUACUAUUUUUUUUAAAAAAAUAAGUCAACUAUUAAUAUUUAAAACAUAGUGAUUUAAAAAUAUUUUUAAUUCUUAAUUUUCUUAAAUAUAUAUAUUUUAUGAAUUCUUAUCAAUAAAUUAUCAUUAAGAAAGUAAAAUUUAUUUUAUUUUUAAAUAAUUCAUCUAUUUUAGUUACUUUUAUGAAUUAUAAAAAUAUAAGAAUAUAAAUUUUUAAUUUUUAAUUUUUAAAAUAAUUAUAUUCAUAUUAUUUAUUUAAAAAUACUUUUAUUUCUUAGAUAUUUAUUAUAUAAUUAUAAAAAUAUCUUGAUAUAAUAAUAUAAAUUAUAAAUAAUAUAUCUAUGCAAUAAUAUUUGAAUUCAAAUAUUAAGAAUUUAAGCUAUCUAAUUAUUUGCAAAAUAUUUGUUAAUUAUUAAUAAUAACCUAAAUCAAGCAUUGUUAAAGAAAAAAAUUACCUAAUUCUUUUUAGUGAUUUUAUUAAGAAUUUAAUAAUUUUUAAAGAUUUAUUUUUGGUAUUCUUUUAUAAGUAUGAAAUAACAUAAUUUUUAUAAUUUAUUUUUGUAAUUUAUUUUUCUUAUUUUAUUUCUUCUACUUUAUUUAUUAUAUAACUUUCAUAUUACUUUAAAGAUAUUCUAUCAUACAUAAUCCAUAUUGGCAACGUUUUUUCUUUCAAUUUUUUCUUUGACAGAUAUUAAUAUGAAAUAAAAAAUAAUAUGUGUAAAAAUAAAUAUUAUUUUAAGAUAUAAAAUCUUAACUUUACUCCGAAUCUUAUAUUUACUAUUUUCAUUGAAUUUAUCUUAGAAAAGUUGUUUCAAACAUCAUAACUUCUUUCAUCUUUUAAACAAUGCUUUUCAAAACCUUUAAGUUCAAGGGUGGUCUAAUAUAUAUAUAUAUAUAUAUAUAUAUAUGAUAUUAUAUAUUGCUUUUGAUAAUUUAUUCUUUUUGAUUCUAUACACAUGAUAAUAAAAUAAUAUUUGACUUCUUCAAUACCUACUUUAUUAUAAAAUACAAGAAUAGUUUUUAUAUCAAGUUUUCUUUCAAUAUAAUUAUUUACUUGCUUAAAUAUCCAAUUUAAAAACUUAUGUCAUCUACAAUCCAAAAUUAAGUAUUUAGUUUUAUUAAUGAAUUAAAAUUUAUUAUUGCAUAAAAAUAUUAUUUUAUAUUAAAAAAUAAAUCUAUGUCUUAAGUCUAUCACUUAGAAUAGGCAUGACCAUAUACAAUCUAUUUCAAAUUGGCAUGACCAUGUAUUAAGCAAAAUCUAAUGUAUUUUUUUAUACAAAAAGAUGGUAUGUAUGAAUUUCUUCUAUAAAUUUUUUUAACAAAUUCUUUUAAUCUAAGAUAAUGGCUUCAAAAGUAUCAAUCUAAAAAUCCAUCUUCAACAUCAAACAAAUUUAGAUUUUAGAAUUUUAAGAUUUAAAAUAUAUGAUUUUAGAAUAUAGAAUUCAAGAUUAUGUAAUAAUUAUGAAUUUUUUUAGAAAAGCCAAUAUCUUCAUAUAUGCUUUGUAAUAAAUCCAACAAAUAUAAAAAAGAGUUUCUUUAACAAUCUAUCUCACAAUCCACAUACGCUUAUAUAUGGGACUAUAAUUGUUGCAUUUGCACAAUUCAUAGGAUAAGUUGACAAUAUACCAUUUUGUUGAAAUAACUUGGUUUCAAAAGGCAAACUCUAUGCAACAUGCAUCAAGAAUUUGCAAAUUUGACAAUUAAUCUUGUUUGUAAUAUUUAAUCAAUUAUUUGGCCCUUUGCAACCUUGCUAUCCAUUACUUGCCUCUACUUCUUAAAAAAUACUUAUUUAAUCUAUUUAAUAUAUAGGUAUCAUUGUAGUAUUGCAUCAAACUGAUUUUUUUAAAAUAAUGUCAUAUAUUUGACUUUAAUAUUAAUACAAUGAUGAGAUUAUCAAGUUGUCAACUCAUGUUUUGAUUUAGAAGGAUAUACUUCACAAUUUUCAUAUGAAUUCUAUAACAUUAAUUGUGUUGGCAUAUCUAUGGUAAUACAUCUAGCUUAUUUUUGCCACAUCAACUUCAAUUGGCUUUUGUAUCCUACCAAAUUAUUUUUUACAUAUUUGAUUAUCCUCUGGUUUUUGGUGUAUAUAGUCUUAGAUCUUUUACAUUCAAUGUUAAUUUUUUUUAUAGUAUCAGCUUCUAAUAUGGAGCACAUUAUUUUAUAUUAAUUAAAAUGCUUAUUUUUAGGUAAUUUAGACAACAAAUGCUCUAUUCAUACUUUCUUUGUUUAGAACUAAUACAAAAAAUAUGGAGCUUUAUUUUAUUUUAUUUAUUUAUUUUAAAUAAAAAUAAUCUUCAAUAAUGGCUCUCAUAAAAGAUUUAUAUUUUAUAUAAAUUUUAUCAAUUACUAUUAUAUUUAGCCAAAUUACAUUCAUAUUUUGAAACAUGGAAUAUAUUAUGAAAUAUAUUAUCAUUUGUUCUUGAGUACUAUCUUUAUCAAUAUUAUUGAGCAUUAAAAAAAUAUUCUUUUAUAAUCCUACUAUAUUAGAGCAUAUUCUAAUAUGUAAUAGUAUAUUUUAUUAAUUGGUCUUAUAUGUUAAGUCUAUAAUUUAUGAUAAGUUUGGCAUAAUAUUUUUUGUUCUUUCAAGCAUUUUAUUUAUUUAUAUCACUAAUACAAAUGGUUGCUCCUUUGCUAUUAGAUUAUUUAGAUCAUAUUUAACUUGUACCACAAGCUAUUAAUACAUGCAACAUGUGAUUAAUUUAUUGGCCAAAUGUUCAAACUGCCAAUCGCUUAUUGAUAUGUAUAAAUGUGAAAUUAUAUCUAUUAAGCUUCUAAAAAGCUUUACUAUAAGAUAUUAUCAAAUAAAUCUAUUUUUAUCUACUUCUAUAUAUUCAUAUUAUCUAAAUAAUUAUUAAAAUAAAUAUGUAUAUUUAUGAUAUUACUCCCUUUUUUAGGAGCAAGUUCCACAAAGAGUGGUGAUUACAUGUUGAUGAAGUCCAAGAUGCCAUGAAUAGUAUUUGCCACAUAGUUUGAUCUUUAUUUCUUUUAAAGGUAGUUGAUAGGUCCUCUCAGCCAUUGAUAUUUCAAUCUAGGGUAAAAAGUCCAUCUUGAUAUUUGAUUGUUGUUAAACUCUUCAUAACUUCUUUCAAAUAAAACAUUUGUAACACCAUGAAGUAUUGUUCCUACUUUCAUUAUGAUCACCAAACAUUGAGAGUUUGUAUGAAGGUCGUAAUAUCAAAUACAUUGAAUCUCACUAUCUAUUAGAAAAAAAAUGUGUUGUUUUUGAGGAUCUUCAUUUCUAUUAUGUCAUCUUGAAGGUUGAAAAAAUUACAAUGUUUCAUUCAGUAAGUCAAUAAAGAAUAGCUAUUAAGUUGAAUUUGCUGAUUGUUGAUUCUUCAUCUUUUUAAUGUCACAAAUAUACAUAAACUACAAAUAAAGAUAGAUGAUAGAAUAAAAGCUUCCAUACCUCUUCUUUCUUUUAUAGCAAAGAUUUUCUAUUUUUUAUCUUGGUUUUGAUAGACGUUGAUGAAAAUCAUCAACAUUUUUUUAUUAUAUUUACAAGUUUCUUGGCUUCCGUGUGUAUUUAUUAAUAUUAUAUCUAUUCAAUAAAUAAGAUAUUCCAACCUAUUUUGGCAUUGCUUUGAGUCUAAGAUUUCUUCCACUUUGAAUUCUUCAUUAUUAUCUACUUUUAUAGGAAGAAGUGGCAUUUAUCUUCUUUCCAAAAUAUUUAUUGUAUUAUAUGGCUCAAGAAGAGAUAUGUAGAAUAUAAGAUAGAUCUUCGUAGGCUUUGAUUGAUAUAAUCAAUAUGUAACUGAAUUGAUUUGUUCAUAAAUAAAAAAUCAUCCAAGCAUAUGAUAAUUCAACUUGUCACAAAGGUGGAUAGUCUUGAUAUUUAGACAAAGUAAUCAUAUCUUAUUGCCAACAUAGAAUUAAGAUUAUUCCUGGCAAUAGACAUUUACAUUAAUUUUUUAUUAUACUUAACCUUUUUUUUUAUGUCUUUAUUGUUGUAUGUAGUUGAAAUAAAUGAUUUGUUAAAUCUUUUGCCAUAAGAUUAUCAACUUUUGAAAAAUAAAAACAUCAAGUUAUGAAUGAUAGUUAUAAUUGAUGAAGAAAGUUUUUUGUUGAAUAGAAGAUUGUAAUAUGUUAUUAUAAGUAAAUUUUACCAAUGACAAAAGAAUUGUCUAAUGAUCUUAUUAGUAGUUGAUAGUAUACCUCAAAUAGUCUACUCCAAAACUUAGUUUACAUGCUCUAUUUGUCCAUGAAUUUGGAAAUGAAAAGCCAAAGAUAUUUUUAUGUCCACUUUUAAAAUUUUAAAAAGAAAUUUUUCAAAAACUUGAUACAAAUUGAAUUUUUUUAUGUAAUAUAAUAUCUUUAGAUAAUCGAUGAUAGUGUUAGAUAUUAUUAAAUAAGAAUUUAGUUAUUUUUUUUACAUGUGAUAGAUUUUGUAUAUGAUAUAAAAUAUGUAAUUUCGGUAAAAUAAUCUACUAAUACAAAUAUAGAAUCAUAAAAACUUGAGAUUGAAAGAUCUAUAAUAAAAUCUAUAAGAACAAAAGACCAUGGUUGUUUUAGAAUAAGUAAUGGUUGAAAAAGUCCACAAGAAUAAUAAAAUAGAAUUUUUGAUUUUAAAUAAAUAUCACAUGAUUGUACAAAGUCUUUGAUUGCCUUCUAUAUUUAAGGCCACCAAAUAUCUUUAGAUAUUAACUCCAAAGACUUACUAUAUUAAAAUAUAUGGUUGUUAGAGAAUUAUGAUGAGCUUAAAGAGCAUAUAAUCAUGCUUGAAUUUUGGAAUAUAUAAUUUUUUAAUAUAUAUAUAUAUAUAUAUAUAUAUUCUUAAAUUUGAAUAAGAAGUUGAAAAGAUAUAUUUUAUUAAACUUGCUAAAAAAGAUUAAAUCAAAGGUCAAUAUUGAUUUUAUUAUUUAAAAAUAAAAGUACUUUGAUUUCAAGAAAAUUAUUCUUUGUUAAUUAAAUAUUGUAUCUUUUUCUUCUUGUAUGAAAUAAAAAUAUCAAGAAAGAAUAUUUGAUAAACAUUAUUAUUUUCUGGAUCUAUAAGUGAUUUUGAAAUCAAAUCUUGAUACAGACAUGCUACCAUAAAAUACUUAAAGUUUUUUUAAUCCAUAUUUACAAUGACUAGAUUAAAAAUAUCUUUUAAAUAAUGAUACCAUUUUAAAAAUAAAUCCAUGAUUAGAAGAGAUUUUUUUAUUGUAGAUCUUACAAUUGAUGUCAAUUAUUAAAAAUUUUCUAAAAUUGAAAACUAUUAGGUAGAACUUAUCAUCUACUUCCAUUUAUAUUAACACUACAUCCAUAACAAAGUCUAAGAUGUUUAUUUUUAUAAAGAUUGCCUCAAAAAAAUUAAUGCAAUAUAAGAUUGGUGGAGAAAUAAAUAUUGUCUUUAAAACUUCAGAAGAUGUUUCAACUUAUUUUCUCCACUCAAGUUUGUCUUUACAUGUCAAACAUAUAAGAUGAGCCGCAACUUGAGAUUUUUUUUUGAUGAAGAUCCAAUAAUAAUUGACAAAUUUCAAAAAAUAUUAUACACCUCUAGCUGAUUUUAAAACCUUUUAAUCCAUGAUUGUCUAAAUCUUUUUAGGAUCCAUCAUAAAACCAUUAUUUGAAAUGAUAUAUCUUAAAAAGUCAACUUAAGUGGUAUAAAAUAUAUACUUUUUUAUUUUGGCAUAUAAUCCAACAUUUCUAAUUUUUUAUAAUACAUGACAAAUAUGAGAUUCAUGCUCUUCUAUAUUCUUAGAAUAAAUUAAAAAUUUGUUUAAAUAAAUAAAAAAAAAUCAUCAAGAAAUUGUCAAAAAAUAUUAUACAUUAGUUAUUGAAAAGUAAUUGGUGCAUUUGUAAGUCCAAAAGAUAUGACAUUAUAUUUGAAAUGCUCUUAUCUAGUUUGAAAUAUAGUCUUUCAAUCAUUUUUUUUUUUUUUUUUUUUUUUUUUGAUGCAUAUCAAUUUUAUACUAUUUUUAGAUAUAUUUUUAUAUAGAUCUUUACUUUAUUGAAUUGAUUAAAAAAUUCUAAAAUCAAAGGUAAAGGAUAUCUAUUUUUGAUGGUGAUUUUGUUGAGUCUUUUAUAGUCUACAUACAAUUGCAAUGAUUAAUCUUUUUUCUUCAAAAAUAAGAUAAGAGCUCCUAUUAAAGAUUUUAUAUGACAUAUAAAGUUCUUAGUCAAGUUUUUGUUAAUAUAUUCUUUGAAUAGAAUCAACUUAUUUUGUAAUAAGUUGAAAAUUAGUCUAAAAGGCGAUUGAGCUCUUUCUUAAAGUUCAAUUCAACAAUCAUACAUAUAAUGCUUUAAAAAAUAUUGUCACUUUGUUUUUCAAAAACAUCUUAAUAAUCUUAAUACUGACUUGAAAUGCCAGUUGUAGUCUUUUUACUAUCAGAAAUAGAUAUGAUAUAUAUAACAAAAUGUGACUUUUCUUUUGAAGCAUGUAUGAAAGUUCUUGUACCUACCAAUAAAGAUUUGUUUGUAUUGGACUUAUGAGUUUGUACAUGACUAAAAAAAUCUUGGAUUAAACCAUAGAAACAAUUAAGGUUACAAAAUAUCUAAUCUAUUUGAAGAUUAUACUUUUAUAGCCAUAAUAAUCUUAAAAUAAUUGAAUUAAAAGAAAAUCUAAUCACAUUAAAUAUUAUUAAGCUAUUAUGAUCAUUAGUUUCUAUUUCUAAAAGAAUAGUUUCAUAGAUGACAUCUCCAAAAGAUAAUAAAUGACUAGCCAUUAUUUCUACAUAUAUGAAUUUGAUUUUCUUGAUUAAAGAUCUUUCUUAUUUUUUGGCAAAAUCUUUAUUUAUAAAAUAAGUUGAGAUUUUUUAAUUUAACAAGGCAAAGACUUUAUAAUUUUUUGAUCCUAUACAAACUUCUAUUAUAAAAGAAGAAGAGAAUAAGACCUUUAUUAGAUAUUGUACAAAAUUUAAGUUGUAUAGUUCUUAUUGUAGUUAAAAAAAUACAUUUUUCAAUAUAUCAUCUUUUUUAGCAACCAUACUCCUUAUUUUGUAAUUAUAUUGCUUCUUUAGAUAAUGUUAAGUGAUGUGCUUAGAUUUUCUAUAAUACAAGCACAAACCUUUUUAACAAUGUUUAGUCUUUUUUUACUUAGUAAGAAGUUUGAAAUAUAUCAUGUCAAUUUGUAUAAGUUUUAAGUUGGAUAAAUAUGCUUCAAAAACUUAGACGAUUUUUCCAUGACUUGACUUGUACCUCUUCAACUAAAUCUUUAUUUUUGGCAUCUUUCAAAGAAUCAAUUGUCACAUACAAUAGCUAUAGCUAUAAAUUCUUCUAAUAAAAAUGCUCAUAUUGUCGUCAAUAAUAAAUCUUUGAUGUUAUCUUUUAACCCAUAUCAAAAUUCUUUGAUAAGGGCUUUGUUAUUUCAAUCUAAAUUGCAAGAAAGGUUUUGGAAUUCAAUUGUAUGUAUGGUAGCUGAAUAUGAUCUUUAUUGUAAAAUUAUAAGUUUGAUUUUUACGACCAUUUUUCAAUCACAUUCUCUAAAUGUGGUUGUAAAUAAUUCCAAUAAUGAAUUCAAAUCAUAGAAUAGUCAUGAAUUCUUUUCUAUCAAAGUUGCAAAUCAAAAAAGAGCAUCUUUAGAUAAAAGUGCACCAUGAAUUUGACUUAAGUAAAUCCAUCAAGGUAUUGGAAAGUAUACAAUCUUAAAUAGAGCUUCAAUUAUACUAGAAACCCUUGAAACUUUGAUGUUAUUCCAUCAAACUUCUCUGACAUACUUAUCCUUGCUUCCCUCAUACUUGUAAUAGUAAAGAUGCUUGGAUUCAAUUGUAAACUUAAUCUACUUGCUUCUUUUAAUUGCACAACUUCUUGGUAUAGACUUUAAACUUCAUUGUUGGCUUCUUUGAUGGGCAUAGAAAUAAUAUAUCUAUAAUUCAUGUUGAAAAUAUAUGAUAUUUCUAUCUUAAGAGUAUUGACAAUCUUAUGAAGAUCUACAAUAAGUACAAAUCUAUUUUCACUUUUGCCUAUAAUAACAUCCACAAUUUUUUCUUCCUUACAUAAGUCAAGAAAAUUCAAAAGUCAAAUUAGAUAAAGAUAAUUUAUAACUUUUAAAUUAAAAUAAAAUUUUCUACAAAGAAGGAUAAUAUCUCUUAUUUUUUAAAAAAAUAAUAUUAUAAAUUUGAAUAUCAAUUUAAAGGUAGAUAGUCUACAACCUUCAAAAUAUAAUAAUAGAAAUAAUAUAAUUUACUUACUUUUAAUAUAAAAAAUCAAUAAGUUAAUAUUCUUGUCAAAUUAUCAAAGAUAUGAAUCUCAAACACAUAAAAAUUCAAUACAUUCUUGUGUCACUUAGAAAAAGUACAUAUUUAUUCAAAAUUAAUAUAGUAUUAAAAUUAAAAUGGCUACUGCCAAAGACAUGAAGACUAGAAAGUCUUGAAAUAAGAUUAAAGACUAGAAAGAUAUUAACAAGGGUGAAGUAGUCUUUAUUCUUGCCUCUAUAUAUACUAUCUAAUUAGAAGCUAUAUGACAAUGUUCUAUAGAAUCUCCAACACGUUGUUAUGUAGUAAUAUGAUUAUAUAGUGAAAAAUGAAAACAUGGAUGUUGUUAUAGAAGAGCUUAGUAUGAAGAUGUGGUAGAAAAACAAGGAUAAAUGAUAGGAAGGUAAUAAAAAAAUUUAGCCUUAAUACUACCUUUUAGAGAAGGGACUUCUAUUUGCUUUGUAGAAGCAUAAAUGCCUCAAAUUAAAGUAAUUAAAAUAAUUUGUUAAUAUAAAUAUUUUGAGAAGGAAGUUACCAAUAGUUUCAAGCAAAAAUAACUUCAAAUUACCAAAUAUUGAUACUUGGAGAGGAUCAAUUGUCAAUCUGGAUCAAAAUCAAACCUUAAGGCACAAAAAUGCAUAUCUAUGGCAAUUCUAAGAUUUUUUGUUAGAUUGAAGAGUGGAAUUUCAAAGCAAACUUAAAAAGAGAUUUUUAAGAAUUGGAUUUAUAUCAAUUAAUUUAAUAUUCAAUUUUGGAGAGAUUUUCAAAAUUGACAAUGUUCUUGGUUGGAUUAGAUUUUAAAAAAUAAAAUUAUGUUUAGAAAAUUAAGGAUUUCUUGAGUUCGGCAAUGUUUGUACAAGUGAAUUUUGGAUAUUGUGUUGAUGUUCUAGUUGUUAAUUUGUGUGAAAAUUUUGAGGUCAAUCAAAUAGUUAGAUCAAAGUGUGUAAAGGUUUUUGUGGAUAGAGGUCUCCGAAAUUGGAAUUUGAGGGUUAGUGAGUAAUUUUAAGAUUUUUAGGAAUUUGUUGAUUAGAUUGAAGUGAAUUUUUUUUGCAUAGAGACUAGACUUAAUUUUCCAUAGUUUAAGUAUGCUUUAGAGGCAAUUCAACAAUUCAAGAAGGAGAUAUUGGCACUAGAAGUUUAACAUUCAGAUUGGAGUAAGAGGCCGGCCAACAUCCAAGCGGAAUUGAGGUUUGGUCUUCUAUUUGGUAUGUUCAAUCUUCUUCAAAUUUUGUAUGCUUGUUGCCAACUUAGCCAUUGAAAGAUGUGUAAAAUCUUAAGUAAGAUCAAGGAUAUAAUCAAUAGAUAUUGAGAUUCUAAACUGCCCUAGGAUUAAGUUAAUUUGAUUAAGAUUUGAUUAGGAUUUAAUAUUUGUUUAGGAUCUAAUUAGAAUUGACUUAGGAUUUAAGUAAGGACUAUUAGAAUUUUAAGUAGGAUUAAAUUAAGAUUUGGUUGGAAUUCAUUUAAGAUAUAUUUUGGAUUUUACUUCAAUACUUCCUUUGAAAUUCUUUAGGAUUUCUUCAUGCUUCUUUUAUAAUUUUUUUGAGGUUCUUUGGAUUUGAUUAAAGCUUGAUUAGCAUUAUUAAGGUUUAAAUGGAUUUAUUUAGGACUAUAUUAAAAUUAGAAUCUUGUUGUUACAAUACUCCUUCUACCUUCUACAACGAAGUGCUCAGUACAUUUUUAAGCAAGGCUUCAUGUAAUACGACAAUACGUCCAAAUUAUAAGACAUAUGUCUUUACUUGCAAAGUAAGAUUCUUUUAUAUGGGCCACAUGUUUAGUUUGUACCACAAGCUACCAAUACGUGCAACAUGUGACUAAUUUAUUGGCCAAGUAUUCAAACUACCAAUCACCUAUUGACAUGUAUAAAGGUGAAAUUACAUUUAUGAAGCUUCUAAGAAGCUAUAAUUCAAGAUAUUAUCAAAUUAAUCUACUUUUAACUUCUACUUAUUCAUAUUAUCUAAAUAAUUAUUAGAGUAAAUAUAUGUUUUCAUGAUAUCCUUUCAAAUUAAAAUAUCUUAAAAGAGUUUUUGCCUUUAUAACAUGAGAUCUUCCAUCAUAAUGCCAAUUCUAAACUAUUAAAUUUUGUUUUUUAAAAUACAAAAUAAUAAAGUUUGGAUAUUUUUUAUUAAAUAAUUGGUAUUUACUAUUAAGCAACUUAAGUAUUUUAAAAUAUUUUUUUAAGGUUUCCUACUUUUUCCAACCAUUUUGGCCACCUAUUUUUCCUUGGUGGUAAAAAAUGGUCACCAACUAUUUACAUUUCUAAUUAUGCUAUCCAAUUUUCACUUGAGCUACUCACUUUUGUGGUAGACCACCCAUUCCGAGCCGCUGGGGUCCUGCCGCCGGAGGGUGGCCUCCUCCCGUGCGGGAGCCUGGCGAGCUCCCCACACUCCGACUGGGGGGCCGCCUGCCCCGCGCUCCACUGCCCACGUCGCCAGGUUCCCCGAGGUCCUCUGCCCAGCUGGAUCUGUAUUACGCUAUCUUCUACAGCCGCAAUCGAUCCCAUAGCCUGAUAAUGCGUGUUGCCGGUAUGCUUUCCGCAGUUCUGUUAUCCCUAAGCAACCUACAACGGGUCAGGACAGUACCUACUUCAAUUUUCUUUGUGCUUGAAGAUGCCGAAUUCUCAUUAUUGAUGUUUCUUUUGCCUUUCAGCGUGACUCUGGUCCAAGAAAAAGUUCGGUAUUUAAAGAUCUCCAUCUCACACUUUUUGAUGACGAGUCUGUCACCAAAAAUGAUCCUGAAGAGGGAGUUGACGAGUUAAGACAUCUGUGAAGAUAGCCCAGUCAUGUGAAAGUGCCUUCAAAUGCUAACGGACCGUCAGACAGAGAGAACGACCUGCGUCGCGAUAUGCCGAAGAGAAAGGGUUCAAACUCCAACCCCACACACUGUACUAUAGCAGUCUUUUCGUAUAGUGGGUUCAAUGGGGUGUAGAUGGAUGCUGAAAGAAGAAUCAAGUGAGAUUGUGUCGCACUAGUGAGAUAAGGGUAUUAGAAGUUGAUAUGGUUAAAGGUCCCUACAUAACUGCUUUUAAGGUAGUGAAUACUCAGUGUACUGGAUCCAGGCAUCACUGGCAGUCCAAAUCACAACUGCAAUGACAAGGAUGAGAGACAGUGCGUAAGACUUGAGUAUGAGCGACAGAACCUCGUAAGAACCCAGCACUUGCCACCCCAUAUUGAUUCUCGUCAUCGGGAGAAAAAUAAAACGAUGUGUCCCUACCUAAUAAGAUAGGAACGCUGGCUAUGCUUGUAUUGAGAACACUAAGAUUAGCCCCUGCUACACAACUCGCAACGAAGGUAUUUGCACUGAAAUGAUUCUAGAGUCCUUUACUAAGCUCUCUCACGCAACCCACUCACAUUGACUUCCUCGACCUUCAACUUCAAAGAGGCCACCUCAAACCUUUUGAGAUCAUCCUUCACUUAGGAAGGGUGCAGAAUUUCCUCUCACUCGGCGACAAAACUCUUGCCAACUGCAGAAAUCCCCCGACACUAAACCACAGAACUCGUACUCCUAAAGACACGUAUAGUGCAAUUCAAGAGAAGGCGUACUAGCAACGAUCGAGACAAGAAGAGUGCAAUCGGAGCGACCUCAAUAAGCGUGCGGAUCCUGCGAGCUUCAGUCUCACUACAUCAAAUGUGCACAGGAGCAAUGAGGGAGACGGUCCGGCAUUCGAUUACAGUGACAAGCCUGAGCGGUAAGAAUUAGUGUUGAGGUUGGAGUAGAUCAGUCGGCCGAGUACAGAUCCACCCCACGGAGCCGCUGUGCUGCAAGCUUUGCCCCACCAGCCAGACAUCCUCAGAGACGAUGAAUCUGGUCGAACCUGGUCCCCACGGCGAAGAACCGGUGAAUACACGUCGGUGCAAACUUUGGGACCCAUUGUCGCAAGCUGGUCGAAGGAGUUGAUCCGUUCCGAGGGGGUGGAGCCUCCUUGACUGCCUCCCUCCAACCUCUCACCAGGCUACAACUUCAGAUCUCUUCGACGACAGAAAACUCAUUCCCCACGAACUGUUACACACACAUGAUCUAAUCUGAUUUGAUACGACCCGAUCUAAUCGAUCACAGGCAAGCUCGGAUCUCAACCUCACGCCCGAAGCCACUGCAUUCAUUUGUGUGGCCAGUUUCCUAGUGAGGAUGUUCACAUCUUUGACAUGGUUUUCACUUCUUCUUCUUCUGCUUCUUCUUUUAAGAUUCUGAGCGUGUGCUUUGCUCUCUUUUCUAAGGACAUGGUUGCAAUGUUGGGGAAACAGCAUUGAAGAUCCUUCGUUUGUUUGUGAAUUUGAUGUUGUUAAGCUGAGAUUCUGUUGGUUGGAAUGGUGAAUUUUUAGAGUGGCUAGUAGAGUUAAUGAAAAAGAAGUUUAUUUAGACUUAACAGGUUGUUUAGAAUGUUUUCUUUUUCAAAUAGGAAGUCUAGAUUUUGGAAGUGGAGAGGGAGUUAUUACACAUACAAAGGGAAAUAUUGUUAAAUGUUUAUAAAGGUUGUUUUAUUGUAUGUAUUGUUAUAGUUUAACAAUACAUUACAGAAUAAGAGAAGUAGAAUCAAGAUUGAACAUGGUUUUUGAAAAAAAAUGUGUGUGUUUAGUAUAUUUAAUCAAAAAAAAUAAAAUUUUGUUAAAAAGAUCUAAAGCACUGAUAGAAAUAACAAGUUCAAUUAUGUAACAUCAAAAAAGUAAAAUAAAAUCUUAAAAUUUGUUAUUACAUUACAAUACUAUAUGAAUCUAUAAUGUGAACAUCAAAUUUAGUAAUAUUUUUUCAAUGAUUUUCAUUUAAAAGAUAAACAUGUCCAUAUUAUAUAAUUUGAAUGAAUUAUAUAAAAGUUUUUAAUAAAUUGCACCAAAAUCCAAAUUUCAUCAGAUUGAUUAAGUUAAUUUCAAAAUCCAUCAAUAUCCACAUAUUGCCAUCUAGUUUUAAAAUUCUAAAUUUUAAAAAUAAUUAAGAUUCCUUGGUUUCAAACUAUUCAAAAAUAAAUAAUGAAACAAAUAAAAACAUUUAUCUUCUUAUAUAAAAUAUAUUAGAAUUAAAUUGAUAAAAUUUAAAAUAAUAACAAAUCAUUAUUCAAGAAAUUUAAUUCAUUAUCAAAUGGAUAUAUAUUUAAUAUGCAAAUAUAGAAAUUUAUUUUUUAAAAUAUAAUUAGAUUGUAAAAUAUAUAUAUAUAUAUAUAUAUAGAAGAAUGUCAAACACACUCAAGAUGUUAUUAAAUCAUCCUAUCCAUGAUGAAGAAUAUGAUAAACAUGAUGAAUGUGGUUGGUUUUCAUUGAAUUUGGAUCCAAUAGUGGAGUAAUGAAUCUACAGGACAUUUUUUUUUUUUUUUUUUUUUUUUUUUCCAUGAUGGGUGGAUUAAUUUAGUAAAAUUUGGUUUUAUUUAACAUUUCCAUAUAUAUAUAUAUAUAUAUAUAUAUAUAUUCAUACAAACACACAAAUCUAUAUAUAUAUAUAUAUAUAUAUUCAUACAAACACACAAAUCUAUUUGGAGUGACGUUAAACUACCAUAAAACUAUACACUGGUAUUCUAAGAUUGAUGGUUUAAUCCCAAUUGUAAAAACCCUAAUUUAGUGGUUGCUAGCACAAAGAACUUCCUCCCUGAUAUUCUAUAAUUAGAUGUCAUGCAUAAUAGAAUACUAGAGAGCAAAUAUCUUUGGAUCUCCUCCGCCACCUCGGAUCUAACGCCCCAUUCCGCCCAUGCCUCCCUUAGACCCGAACCUCCACUAUUGCGAACCUCGCUAUUGCUCUCUUUGAUGUAAUUCGACGGAAUCCAACUUGCUUCGUUGUUCAUGCAUCUCAUCUCGACUGUACCAUUUGGUAGUGCGACCAGGGAACUAACUCCAGUCCCAGGGAGCUCUUCUCUGCGCUGUCACGCUACCGAAACCCCCAGCAAUAUCUUGCAUGUCAUGUCAGCGAAUUCAGUGCGUUCGGCGAAUCUGGUCUCAUGACCCUUCCUCCGGGGACCCUCUCUCUCUCCAACUCUGCCCAUAAUCUGCGACGGUUUUUUCGCUGAACGGACAAUCAUGUGGGUAAUAGUUCUCGAAUGCAUGAGCAACGAGGCGCGCAAGGUUCGUGUGACAACUCGUGGGUUUUGAUGAGCUGCUGAAUCGUUUCUACUUUGGCGACAUUUUGUUGUUGGAGGUUGAAGGGAAACUGAUUCUGGUUUAAUGUCUGCAACCUAGGUACAGAGGUAUUGAUUCCAAGCAAGUUGCCUGCCUGGCUGACGAUCAAGUACCACCCACAUGUAGUCUCACUUGAUUUUUGCCGCCCAUCUGGUUUACCUGCGUUCCAGCUCGGCUAUUUGAGUCUUCAGUGAAGGUCGAGUGGAUGUGGGAAACUUGGAUGUAAAAUUUUGGCAAACUGUUUUAUGGCAGGACUGAAGAGCCAUCACGCCAGAUUACAGAAAAAGAACAAAUUUGAAAACCUGAGAACGGGACUUUUUCGAUGAGUUCAAAAGGAAGCUCAGUAGGGACAGAUAGCAGCUAAUUCGACAUCACACUGUCGGUGAAGUUGGCUGUAAAAUAUAUCUUACAUAAAGGAGUUUGCUGCGUAGCAGCAUUUACUUCACAUCAAUUCUAGUCACUUACAUGUGCCACAUCUUAUCACCUCAAAUUAUGCUUCAAAAACUCUGGAGGAGAGCAGCUUCAAACAAGCAUUAAGACAGCAGUUUCAUUCACACCAGGAAGACUCGAUUAAUGAAAAAGACGAUACGAAUACCACCGAACACCAAAAACUCAUUAACCAUACUAUGGCGAUCCCAACUCUUGCCAAUACAAUAUCGGUUGGAUGAUUUGAAAACAGACACCGUUUUGGUUAAUAUUUUCGUCGAAUACAGGAGAGAUAUGUCAACGAUUCUCCACAAUGAUGCGGCAAAUAAUUCCACAUGAAUGGUAGGGCAAGACCAUUUCGAAACUCUAAGCACACCUAAUCUGUGUUCCUACAGUGGAAAGAGUGGUACAUCUAUUUGAAUUUAAUGCUCAAGAUCAUGUGUAUGGACGAUGAUGGCAACGGGGUCUUUCAACCACAAAAUGAUCAUCAUUUGAAGAACAGAUUACGGCAAUCAGAACACCUCCCUGUUCAUGAUCACAAAUAUUUUGAAGAAGAACGCAUACUUGUGAAGAACCCAUCUCCAUUCUGAGCUCUCAAGUUUUGGUCGACUGUGGCGGGAAUAUGUUCCUUCGCUCGGAAUCGUUGGCGGGGGAGCAUCUCGCUGUUAAGUAACAUUGGGGUUCCUGUUUGGAAGCCAAAAUAUUGAGAAAACUCCUUUGCCCUGUGACUGGGAAUUCGGAAUCGGUGACCCGCUCUUCAUGUAUUGUUGUCAUUCUCACUUGCAAUCCGCAAUAAUCAGGCCAUAUGCGGUAGACAUGGGCCAUCUCGGUAGUUGUAAUGACAACUACCGAAUCCAAAACCCAGUUUUGUAUUGCGCGAAGUGCCAGAUCAUGUGUGAUUCUUUUGCUUGCGUCCUCUUUCUCAGCAGUGUGGCAUCGCGAAAACCCGACUUCAAUUAAUUUGAUCUCGGAGAAGGUGGCUCCCAUAGAAAUUUUACAGCGGUGAAGGUUGCGAUGCGCAAAUCUCGGGAUGUGGAGGGAGAUAUGAAUCCUGCUUUCUUUGCAUAUCACUCGGACAUGCAGAGGAUGGCUUGGAGUGAGUGAUCGUGUACCAGUCGACGGAUACAGAGCAGCUGAAAAGUCCGCAGCUGAAGGGCACUAUAAGUGAAGUCAUAGAGUCGGGCAGGAAGGGAGUGGCACUUAAAGUUGUAUAAAAAAGCCUAAGCCUCGACUUCAUUUCGAGGAUUGAAGGUCCCGUCUCCAUCAGUCUAGGCGUACGAUUGGACAAGCAAACAGCCGGGGUAUCUGCUCCUAGGUUUAUAAAACCCGAAAAGGUCAAUAACUGAGUGAUGCGUUAACGAGGGCAAGAAUAAAGACUACUUCAAAAAGCCAACCUGCUGAAGUCGAGGUAGUGGAAGGUGUAUUUCGAGCGGAUUGGAGACAUAGAAUAAAAUUCUGCGUACUGAGUCCAAGCAUCGCCAACUGCGAAUGACAAGACUACUGCAAGGAAGAAGAGAGACACGACAUACGCCUUGAUUAGCAAAACAGGAAUCUCAUUCUUCGACUCGAACCCACGCACCAGAAGCUCCAUCGUAUCAAUCCCAACCCUCGACAACGGGGAAUGCUCUGUUCUUCAGGUGGGUCACACACCAACAAUGGCAAACAACUUGCGGACAAAAAUCGCUGGAUUCAAAAGUAGACAGGACGACAACGCUCGACCUCUCUUAACUCACUCACUCUCACACUCGCACUUCAAAGGUGGUCCGUAAGGAAGUGAAUGAACCCUGAGAAUAAGAAGCAAGCGGCUCUGAUGAAGCGGGAAGAGAAAACCCUGGUGGCUCGGGUGCCGAGCAACUUGAUCGACGAACUGUAUAACCGAAGACUGAGGGUUUGGUGCAAGUGGGUCGGAUCCUGGGGAGCCAUCAAUUCUUC
rnacentral:lncRNA from 1 species